ACGACUUGACGGAUCAUGAGGCAAUCAGGCGGUCGGACGGCUGGGAUGGUGCGUGCCCCUUGAAUUUCCGCAAGUUGUACUAGAGCAAACACUAUGUGUGUUUAGAGCUUGUUUCUUGACAGGUGAGGCCAAGGCCAAGAUUCGAUUGGUUCUCAUCUUGACCAUGGUUUGAGUGUAUUCUUAGGAUUCCUCUGAUUUCAAUUUUAACAUCCCAAACAAAAUAUUUAUCUUAUUUUUAGGGACUGUCUAUUUGACAUUCGACUGUUUUUUAAUUUGACAACGUUCAAAUUUCGUAGCAAAUGAACAGAUGACACCUGUAUGUCCCAAAAACCCUCCCACCAGCCACUUUAUUUUCUGUAUUUCGGCAAAAACGGGUCAGGCAAAACCCUGACCCGGUUUCCAGUAAACCAGCCCCACCAAACCCUCGCUGGACCACAGCUAACAGCUGGCCACAACUUCCCUGCUUGCCAUCAACUUGCCACGCACGGAAAAGGAAAGGAAACCCCUCUCCACCCCUCCUACAUAACAGCAUAAAUCUCAGCAUUAAUUUCAUUGUUAAUCUCAACAGUAGAGAAAAUUUAAUACUCUGUAAAUAGUUCAUCAGUAGCAGUAGAAAAAACUUGCAUAGUCGAAGAAAUUACACUGCAACAACACAUUAUGCCUGAAAUGACAAUAGACAGGACAGUAGCAAAACAAUGCCAACUUACACUGAAAAACAAGGUAUUGCCUAAAAUGGUAACAAACCUACAGUGUAACUGCCAAUGAAUUACAGUGAAAUUUGUCAACUUACACUGAAACUACCUAUGGAAUAAACUGCAAUACAACAAUAAUAACAGUGUAAAUCCUGUACCAAUUAUAGUAAUUCGCAGUGUUAAAGUGUACAGGAUAAAAAUACAAAACGAAUUACAAUGUAAAACUGCCAAUGAAUUAUAGAGGGAAAUGGGGAAAUGGAAUGUAACACAAUUUUUACACUAGCAGAAACUUUUCGAAUUGUACUAUAAUUCAUCGGCAGAUGGGGAAAAUCCCCCUAGAGAUUACAGUAAUUACAGUGUAAAUCCUUUGGACUGUUCUAGAGAUUACAGGAAUUAUACUGUAAUUCCUUUGGACUAUACAUAUGUUUUUUGUACUAACACUGACAUUUCUUUUCCAAAAAAUGCAGAUGGGGAGCAUGACAAGGACAAUAACAGAAGACGAACUACUGUCAAUGUCACAGGAAGAUCUCAUCCUAAAUGUAAGUACCAACAAAUGUCAAAAACUUAUAAGAGAAUGCUGAGUACAUCAAAAACAAAAUCUGGCACACAAAAACACUGCAGGAAUCAUUUUCUUUUACCGCGCUCCUACAAUCAGACAUUAUAUACAAGGUAAGAAAAAAAUUCUUACAAAAACAGUACUACUUUUACAGCUUCUUGGAAAAGAGAUGGGUUUCAUUUGUUGUGAUAAUACAGCAAGAACUAUAUUUUAUGAGCAUGUUUCUUACAGGUACAUUCAGCAAAUGGAGGUGCAUCAAGUAACAGAACUCAUAACAGCAACAACACAUCAGUCCAUUCGAUAAGAGAGGUACUUACAGCUUCAGAACUAUUCUGCAGACAUUCGACGAAAUGAAACUGAAACUACACCAACCGAAGAAGGUGCAACAGAAGAAAACCCCUGGCAUGCAGACCUUUUUGGCACCAUGAAUUUGGAACAGGUAAAAGACCAAAAUUCAGUAACAAGAUACAUACAUAGAAGUUGAAAACUAGUAAGAAAUAAAGUACUGAAGCAAAUUGCUAUGAAUGCAGGUGGAUGAAGAUGAUGACCCCAGUUCAGCAGCAACAAGAGAAAACAACAGUUGCCAGAACAAUGAAGAAACAGAAAUACCAGAAUCAGAGCACUCGCAUGAACAAGAUGACAAUGAAUACCUCGAUGAAGAAGACAUUGAGAAAUUCCUGCAAAAUGAGCAAGAGGUGCAUCAGAGGGCAAUCUAACUAGUAAUUGACAAAUGGAGGUGCAUCGAGUAACAGGCUGCAUCAGAGAGCAAGAGGCUGCAUCACAUGAAUAAUGUACUAAAAAACAGUAAAUAAUAAGAUGAACAAGCUAAUACUGAACGAGAGCAUCAUGGGAGUAUAACACUGUAAAUUACACAGUCGUAAAACAUGGGCAUGAGAAUUACACAGUAAUUACAAAAAAAAUAUGGGAGAAUUACACUGUAAAAUGGAAGAAUUACACUGUAAAAGCAGGGACAGUAGUUACACNNNNNNNNNNNNNNNNNNNNNNNNNNNNNNNNNNNNNNNNNNNNNNNNNNNNNNNNNNNNNNNNNNNNNNNNNNNNNNNNNNNNNNNNNNNNNNNNNNNNNNNNNNNNNNNNNNNNNNNNNNNNNNNNNNNNNNNNNNNNNNNNNNNNNNNNNNNNNNNNNNNNNNNNNNNNNNNNNNNNNNNNNNNNNNNNNNNNNNNNNNNNNNNNNNNNNNNNNNNNNNNNNNCACAGUAAUUUUGAGCUACUACAGUAAAAAUACACUGAUACUACAGUGUGAUUACAUAGUUAGUAACAAAGUAAAUACACUAAUAUUACAGUAUACUUACAUAGUUAGUACACUCAUAUAACAUUGCAAGUUACAAGGUAAGUACACUGACAUUAGACUACAAAAUACACUAAUAAUACAGUGAAAGGAAACUGAAAUUCGAACGACCAGCCACCUACAACUAUCAUCUAACAGCAAUAAUAUAGUGAAGGGGUAUUACAGUGUAACUUUGGGAGGUACAGUGAAGAAGCACAAGAUAACAAUACAUGGAGCACACCAACAUAAUACAGUGAACUUCAGAAAUACAUUACAAAUAUUGAUCGGGCAUGAAACUGCAGCAAAUGAAAACUAGGGGAAAAUACAGUCUAAGUCAGAGAUACAACACAUAGAAAUUCAGAACCACACUAUGAUGAAGGUAGUGCUACUACACAUGCACAGUGCAGAACAGGGGGUAUUACAGUCUAGAACAAGGGAAACUACAGCAGGUGGAAAAUAUGGGGAUGAAAUAAUUCUUGUCUACAAGGACACAUUAAUCCCAAAAGCAUAAUUACACUGAAAAUAUGGGAUGAAAUACACAGUAAUUACACUGGAACUACAACAGUAGCAAGGGAUUACAGUGUAAAUAAUCGUAAUUCUUGUGGAUUACACUGGAAACACGACCCUGGAAUUAACAAUACUUGUAGAUUACACUGAAAUUUCGAGAAAAUUACACAGUAAUUCUAGGUCAAAUUACACAAUAAUUCUAGAGCUCAAACUACGGGAUAAAUUACACAGUAAUUCUAGGUCAAAUUACACAGUAAUUCUAGAGCUCAAAUUACGGGAAAACAUUACACAGUAACUGUAGAUUGAAUUACACUGGAAAACAGGACACAGUAAUUAUUGGGCAAAAAAUACUAGAGAUUUGACCUAGCGAAUUACACUGAAACUACAACAGUAAAUCUAGAGUGAAAUGGGGCAAAAUACUAGUGAUUUCACUGAUACACUGAAACUGGGGGAAAAACCACAGUAAAACUAGAGUGAAUUACACUGAAAAUGGGGCAAAAGAAAAUAGAAGCACUAAAACUACAGGAACAGAAAAUGGGGCAACUUACACAGAAAUAAUACUGUGAAUUACACUGAAAAUGAGGCAAAAUACACAGUAAAUAUAGAGUGAGUUACAUUGAAACUAUGGGCUGAAUUACACAGUGACUAGUGCAAAUUCAUAGUAUAUGACAUUCAAAACUAUGGGGAUUACAGUCAGCCUGGGGCAAAAAAUGCAGUAAUUCUACAGUACAUAACACAGAAACUAGGGGGAUAUACAGUAACACUAAUCCUGCAGUUCAAUCACCCAGGCCUUAAAAGCACAUACAGACACUCACAGGAGAAUCUCCACUCACAGGCCAAAGAGGACAUGCGCAUUGCAUCUAGCACAGCCCAACUGAGGAAAGUAACCACACCUAAAGCUACGAACGCACCAAAGUACGAACCCUAGAACCAACAUCUACAACCCUAGAACCAACACACCAAAGGAGGAACACCCAUCUACCAGUAAACAGACCACCUACCAACGCAAAUCACAAACCCCGAACCACAAAAACUCCCAACUCAAAACCUAUAAAUGAUCCAUACAUCUAUCUGAAUCACAAAACUAAACGCACAUGAGCCUACCACGAGCCGACGAGGAACAAAAAAAUGGCGGACAACACAAAGCAGACAAGAAACCACGGCGGACAACGCGAAGUAGAACCAACCACUAAAACUACAAAUCACCUACCACGGAUCUACAACAACACGGCCCGGAACCACAGCACACACCUAGCACGAACCCUAACAAAAUCACACCAGCAACAGACCCUAGAUUUAGAAGCUACGCACCGAGAAAUUAACAAAAAACACGCGCUCGAGAGGGAAAUUGAGAGACCAACCAACAGCAGGAGUGGGGAAUCGAAGAGGAAGGAGAGAGAAAUCAAGCUCCACUGGUGGGGGAUCCCGGAAUCGACAUGAACAGCAAGGAAUCGCUCCGCUGCCCCGAGCGCCUCUUCCUCUCUCUGCCUCGCUAUCUCACUCCCUUCUCUCUACAGUGCCGCACAAAUGGAAGAGAAAAACAAUGCCAAAAAUUCAUAAAGGACAAAAACCGGGAGAGUGUGAGGGGCGACCCGGCGGAGCGGUAACGGGCUGGACAAAAAAACCGCACCCGACAGAGGAAAACAAGCCCGAAAACGAGACAGCGAAGCGCGAAUCUUCGUGCAACAGCGGACGGCCAGUGAUUUGAAUGUUGGCGAAUUGAAUAACAGUCGAGUGUAAAAUAGCAAAUCCGUAUUUUUAUGCAAGAAUAUGCAUGGUGAUUUGGAAGACACGGAAAAGUGUAAAAAAAGAUGUCGAUAUGUGUGAAACAUUUGGCAGUGUGAGGGAAGUGGGGUUCGAGACAGACGAGAAAAAAGUGUUAGAAAUCACCCCACCCCCUCAGAUCCGUCGUCAGUCACGCGUCUGUCUCUCCAUCUGCCCCAUGAGUCUUGAGGAGUCUGGCAAAUAAAGGUUGUCGGCAGGCUCAUAGAAUUUUAUAUUGGAGACGCGGAAUGUAAACACACCGUAAACUACAAAAUUUAUGAUUUGGCAAUAGGCUUUGGGCUAUGUGUUGCAUCCACAAGAUAAAGGGCUCCGUCAUUUAACGGAUCAUGUUUAAUUGAUCAAAAAAUAAUUACAAUUUACAUAUCUCUAUCUUGACUUAAAUUUGUUCCAUCGUUAGAACGCUCAAUCCUCUCUGCUCCAGUUCAUUUCGAUGCCGACGCAGACUCUCCUUUCCCGACACCCAUACCACCUCAGUUCACAUCGGUGUGUAGGGCAAAUAAAUUUUUUAUCGUAGCAAAGCACAGAUAUUGUGAUCAGAACAUCAUGCAUCUGCCUUGAAACACAUAUUAGUAUUAACCAUGAAUAGGUCUUUCACUAAGAAAGGAGAGCCUGAUUUUUCAUUAGAACAAAAGCUUAAAAGGAGCCCGGGUUUGAAUUAAAAAGCCAUCAAUCGGCCAUGGAUUACACAAGGCCAUCAUUACAACCAACAACGAGCGGUAACACACGGGAAAUAGAAAACAAAAGCGAUAAAUACAUAAGGUCGACACCGGGAUCAUGCCGCUCCUCUCCUAUGUCACAUGUUCUAUUCUACCUCACCAUCACUUUAUGGAGCUCAGCUGGCCACAGGACAUGGUCACGGCGUGAAGCCGGAGGAGCGCCGAUGAAGAUUUAGAUUAGAAUUUUACAUUGUAUAUGGAUUUGAUGAUUUUAAAACAGACGCAUCCGCCGGGCAUUUGGGGGCGAGGGAUUUGUAGAUGCUCUAAUGAGUUAAAAAUGCAUUGCAUGAACACACUCUGAACCAAUGUCUAGAGAACCCACGCGAAGCUAGAGCCCAUCGGCACAAGGCACACACAACGUGAAAGGGUUGCGACCACAAGCUAUAAAUCACAAGAGGCUCUCUCCCUCUUCCCCCUUUCUCUUCGUCUCUCGUCAUCUUUGCUCCCCAGCCAGCCGUCCACCCUUCCGCCCACCACCGCACACCAUGGACGAAAGUGGAUUUCUUGAGCGUACGCACCCGGGUCGCUCUAUCUCGGCCGCUCGUUCCGGAGUCCGCACCUCGAGAUGCUCAGCAGUUAUGAUCGUUUGCCUGGUUGGAUUACCGUGGCAUAUGGAGGUUACGGAGACCGUCGUCACAGGACCUUUUGGACGUACUAGGCUCUGCACGAAUUUGUUUGUUUGUGCCAGUUGAAAAAAUACUGGGAGCACGCCCGUGACACCGACGAUCGAGUCUGCGCGGCGGCCGUGUUCGUCCAUCCAGCAGACGAGCUGGAGGACAUAGCUAGCAUGCGAAUCAGCACCUUCAAGCAGCGUGUGUGAUUUUACGGAUGCAUAAAUGGAGCUCCGGUGGGUGUAUAUAUAGCCGGCUUGUGGUGUACGUGUUUGCAAGUUAGGCGGUUCACCAUGGCCAUGCAGUGGAAUAACUUUUUUAGUAAGGGUCACUCAUACGAGCUGCUGAACUUUUAAAAGGCAUACUGAAUCAUUUUGUAACCUCCUCUGAACGAGCACGGGCUGGCCGCUAUGGACAUCGCGCCUGGCGCGUUCAAGUACCAACGCAUGGGCCAACAUGCACCGCACCAUAGUAAAAAUCGCGUGGUGAAUAGAUUAAACAUUCUACUCCACCCUCGCAACACACAGCCGUAACUCGCUGCCGGUAAAAACGGUUUUUAUUACCACCCGUGACCCCACGGCAGGUGAAUGGACAGGCAAUGCAUGGAAUCUACUUUUGCUAUACGCGUGCUGCCUUCAGCCAAAGCCGAUACUGAUACGUCUCGUCGCACCGCAUCCUAUACAAGCACCCGGAUCCUUUGUGCAUAUAUAGCAUGUGGGUCAUGUAUUGACAUUCGCAGAAAAUCAACUACACCACUGCGCCCCACUCUCGUGUUCAGCCAGCAAAGAUUCCAAAGCAUCACCAAGUCCCCAUGCCCGCCCACAGAGUGCUCCGCAGAUGACUCCUCUGUCUCCUUUCUGGAGGUGUCUGCUUUCGAAGCCCACAUGUGUCUGUCCUUUUGUGCGAGCGGAUGGGCCAUCUGGUACAGUUCCCCCUAGCCCAAGUAGGCGAUCGCGGUCCCUUACUGCCAGAUAACGUGGCCCAUAAUAUUUUCCGUUCUGUGUAGCACACAUCCCAAUGAAUAUGGACGUCCAGGAUAGCAGUACCCGGGUGCGUAAACUCACCUGAAUGAUUUCGCACCAUGGACUACGUCUUCCCUUCCGUAGGCGCCCUCCCCGCACCCAACUACAGGCACCAGCCCCUUCUAGGCCGGGAGAACCUUCGCUUCAGCCUCCCGGGCAACUCCAACCGCUACCUCCCCCUGCGCAGCAAGGAGGCGGCCGAGGACGGAGCACGUGCACGUCGCAGACGCCGCGACCACCAUGCCUCCUCCGACUCGACCUCGGCGACCGAUGCCGCCCACGCCUCGACCUCCGCGACCGACGCCUCUGCCGCCAGGCGACGCAGGCACCGACGGCCCCGGCCCCGACCCCGACGACCCGAACGUGAGGAGCGCCCCGUGGAGGUCGCUGAUCGAGCGUGGGGGGGAAGACGUCUCCUCGCCUUCGCCUUCCUCGUGGUCACCGGCGCCGUGUCCGCCGUCCUUCUUCUCGGUGGGCAUGAGCUCUCCAUCUGGACCUACACCGCCGCGCAGACAUCCUGCACCUGCUCCCCCGCCGCCGGUACGCCUCUCCUCCCUCCUUCCUCCUCCCGCUCUUCCGUAUUGCAUUGCUCGGAACAUUCGAGAUUGACUUGAAGGCCAAAGAAGCCAAGAACUAGGCGUAGGGAGGCAAAAGAAGAGGGGUUAUGGCCGAAGCGGGCAGGCGGCUGCGCAUCCACCUCUCGGACGACGCCAUUGAUGGCGGAGCCGCCGCGGGCCGGGAUGGCGGGCGCUUGUUCGUAGAAUAGCGAGGCGAGAAGAGGGGUCAGACGCGCGGCAUUUGCCGGAGCGGCGGCGGCAGUGGCGGUGCCACGCCCUUAAUCGAGUUCUUGUUCUUCCAAGAACGACUCCUGGUCGUCCGCGCCAGCCAACUCGCCGUGGCGGCGCCGUUCUUGGAUCGCGGCGCUUCCCUUUGUACAAUAGCAAGGCGAGAAGAGGGGUUAGCAGCGGGGUAUUGGCCGACACGGCGGAGCACGCUCUCAAUCGAGUUCUUGUUCGUCCAAGAACGACCCCAGGUCUUCCGACCGACCACCUCGGCGUGGCGGGGGCGUUUGGGGAGGCGGCGCGCGGCGCAGAUUAAGCGGCGGACCGGGAGGAGCCCGGCGAGGGUUAACACGUUCGGGGGAGCUCCGGGCAUGAGAGGGUGGAGGACGCGCUCCGGUCGUGUCGUGGAGCGGCAGACCUAGUUGUUGCGCGUGCCGGCGUCUGAUUCCUGCUCGCUCGCCAUUGCUCAUAAUUGGGAAACUUGGUGCAAAUCUCUAACAUCCUAAAUGUUAGCAAAACUUUCUCAUAUGGGUGUAUUUUGGUUCUUAAACUAUUAAACAAUACAAUAUAAUACAUUUUGAUUAUGUGAAUGAUUCAUCUAAUUUUCUUUUAUGAUUGGUUGUGGUACAUUCUCUUUAAUGAACUAUUCUAGUUGCGAUUUUGAUGUAUUUUUUUCUUAUAUCUUUCAAUUAUUUUGAUUUAAAUUGCAACUGAACAACUCCCACAAAAUAAAAAUGUCAUAUUAUUUAAAUCUAAUCAUAUAGUGAUUGAUUAUGCAUUUUAGUGGAAUCCAUCGCUAAUAAUAAAAAUAAGUUUUUACUUACACCACUAUUUGUUUAAAGGGGAGCGAUAGGCGCCGGCGCGCCGGCCCAAAUUUGGGCCGGUCGCAGCCCAGGCGUUGGAUGUGUGCAUGCACGGCCGUUAGAUCUGGGCUCCUCCUGUCGUCUUCUCUUCCAAAAACAAAUCUGAGCGAUGCCGGUGAAGAACACGAGCAGCGGCGCUGCUGGCACUCUCCAUGGAUGAGCGAACGAGUAACCUCGAAGCACCGUCACUUCGCCGCCGGUCGCCGUCCUCGCCGGUGGUCGGUGCCUCCCAAGCGUUUCUCGCCGACUUCACGCAUGCAACACCGAGCGCUUGCAGGUUGCAGUCACAAAGUGCCAUGGGUCGCAGCUCCGGUGGCGGCGGUCGCCGGCCGCAGCGCUCCAUGGACGAACUCGCAGUCUACCUCCCUCGGUUUCUGGUCGCAGCAAAACCGCCUGCCAGUUAUAGCAAACGCGAACAACGGUUGCAGCAAAAAAGCAGCUCCUAUCAUUGCCGCACGCCAUUGUCAGCUUACCGCUCUCUCGUUGAAGCUUUUUCAGAAGCGGGUUGAAGCUUUCUCAUAGUCGGUUGCAGCUUUUCUCUGAUUUUGUUCGCCGGUCACUGCCAAAAGAAGGGUGGUAACAAAUUAUGUCGCCGGUCGUAGCAAAAAAUGACCGCGGUUGCAGCAAAAAAUGUGGUCACCGCCGUCGCAUGUUUAGCAUCACCAUUAAUGAUGUAGCAAAUCUCGAUGAUGGUAGUAGCAAACAUUUACGACGGAUGCAGCAAAAACACGUCUCGCCAUAUAACCAAUGCAGCUCGCGCGCUACAGGUUGCAGCUCGCCUUGUUGCGGGUUGUAGCAAAUUGCAACAAUGAUGGUAGCACUUUCACAGAUAGAGGGAGAGGAGAGGGAGGGUCAAGCUGGAAACUGCCCCUCAUGGCAGCACCUAGGGGGGACGUAGCAGCAUCUGUGGGGGAUUGUAGCAAAUCGCGACUAUAGUUGUAGCAGUUUCAAAGGUAGAGAGAGAGAGAGAGGAGAUCAGGAGAGGGACGGCCAAGCUGGACCCCCCUUGUAGCAGCACCUAGGGUAGCCAUGGAGCUGUGCUCUAGCUGGGGAAGAAAAAGGGAAGGGACGAGUGGAGGAGAGAGCUACAGAGAAAAGAUAAGAGAAAUACAGUGCGUGGGCCAGAAAAAAGUAUGAGUGCGUUGUCUCCCUGGUCGUACGAUCCAGUUGGAUCGCGUGGCCCGCGCGCGUCCGGCGCAAUGGUUUGGCCGGCGCGCCGGGUGGAAAUGUUUCCCUUGUUUAAAUAGGGUAAAUUACUUUGUAUUAUUUUCCUUUUAUUCUGAAAAAGCUUCUGCAUGCAAGUUUGGUCGAUUAUGAUGUGUUUUUAUCAGUAUUAUAUUUUUUUACUGUUUACCUAUUAUAUGUGAUCUAAACGCUCUUAUAUUGGUUUACUGAGUGAGUCUUAUUUUAUCACUUUAUAUGAGAAGUAAAAAAACAUACCUGUCAUGUAGCUACCUUGUAUCAUGUAUCCAUACCCCCAAACGUGUCAGCAGGUUGCUGCUGGGUGCUUGUGCCCUUGAGUCGUCGAGUCCGACUUUUUUCAUUGAUAGCCGACCAGUGUCUAUUUGUGCCAAUGCAACAUGUGCAUGUUUUCCAUCACAGCCACGUUAAAUUAAAGGACUGUUGGGCUGACAGCAUUAUUAUUUUUGCAAUAAUAGAUUCCGGCCCGUUAUGUAGCAAAGGCCCAUCUGGCUGUCAAUCGUUGUGCGAUCAAUCGUUGAUUCGUUGGCUCCAGGAAGCCGGUAGGGAUAUGUUUAGAAUAAUACCACCUCGGAUAUAGAAAUAAUAUGAUCAAAGUGGACCGACGACGGACAAAAAACGGACAAAAUUACGGUGGUAAGAAGCGAUAGCCGCUUUAUUAUUAGGUAAAGAUAAAGAUAAAGAUAAAGAUAUGUUCACUUCUACUUCGGUACACCCUCCUUAAACACAUCAAAGGCUAAGAUCUGCCCAUACCCCUUCGCUGUCAGGUCUUAUGUAAAAAAUCUACCCCGCGUGUCCACGCCGAUACCCCCGCGCGCCUGUGUAUCAGGGGCUGCGGGACCAGCCGAGCCGCUUGGCAGCCGUGAGGACGCGAGCCGUGCCGAGCCGUUAGCAUCCAUGGGCCCACAAUGUCAGAUGCAGGGUGUGUUUGUUUUCAAAAGUGGGCGUUGACCGGUGGGGGUGUACGUGUGGUCGUGGCGCGGACGGCCGUAUCGUCGUGCAGUUAACUGCUUGCACUAAUUGCGGCGUGCAUGCAGGCGCCGACUGCUCGCGGCCGAUCUCCUACCGCCCGCCUUCUGCCCUCGUAGUCCGCGCCCUCCACUGUCGCGCGUGCGGCGACCGCCCGCCUUCUGCCUCGGGCCGGCUGUUGACGCGACCGCUCGGCUGCCGCCACUGCGGCGACCGGCCCGCCAAACGCCAUCGAUGCCUCGCCUUCCGCCCGCACGCCUUCACACACCAGCCCUGCCGCGCCUGCCGCCCUCGCGCCUUCACACGCCACCGCUGCCGCGCCUGCAGCCCGCCCGCCUUCCCACGCCACCGCUGCCGCGCGUGCCGCCCGCCUUUCUCNNNNNNNNNNNNNNNNNNNNNNNNNNNNNNNNNNNNNNNNNNNNNNNNNNNNNNNNNNNNNNNNNNNNNNNNNNNNNNNNNNNNNNNNNNNNNNNNNNNNNNNNNNNNNNNNNNNNNNNNNNNNNNNNNNNNNNNNNNNNNNNNNNNNNNNNNNNNNNNNNNNNNNNNNNNNNNNNNNNNNNNNNNNNNNNNNNNNNNNNNNNNNNNNNNNNNNNNNNNNNNNNNNNNNNNNNNNNNNNNNNNNNNNNNNNNNNNNNNNNNNNNNNNNNGGCUCGCCCUGGCCACUCCCUCCACCCGCCGGCUAUAAAAGGCCGCCCCGCCCCUCUCUUCUCCACUCCACGCCACCGACACGCACCCGCCCCGCCCCUGUCUUCUCCAGUCCAUCUCAUCUCCACGCCACCGACACGCACCCCGACGAUGUCUUCGAGCGACUCCGACGAAGGCGCGUGGCCGGGCGGCGUCUGGCCGUUGAGCCUCACCAUCCGCGACACGGAGGACCUCGCCCGGUUCGGCCUGAUGGUGCCGCCGGUUUCGAAGGUGCCGGGGCCAUGGCGGAUCGGCGCAGACGGCGUCCCCACACGCGGCUCGCCACCGACGCCGGAGCAGCUCCACGCCUUCCCUGGCGCCCGGUACAACAGGAAGGCCCGCCGCCGCUUCUGGCGAGGCAAAAACUUCGAUGUCGUCCUCGGCGCGUUCAGGGACGCGGCGGCCGACCGCCCCGUCGGAGACAUUACCGGCGAGGUCGGCUGUUCUCGUCGCCGCCGCCGCCAGCUCCCACCCGCUCCCGGCCCUAGUACUCGGGCACAGCAGGCACCCCCUGCCCCGGCGCUGUCCCCGCUCCCGCCGGCGCAGGCCGCCCUCGCGCAAGACGGCGGCCCCGAUGACACCCCGGGGCUACUUGCGGUGCUGGCCCGGUCGGCAGCCGAGGCGGCGGCGGCGGCGCGCGAGGAGAGAGAGAUGCAGGCGGCCUUAGCGGCGGUGCGGGCGCAGGAGGCGCAGCAUGGCGGCAACUGGUGGGACGACGACUCCGGCGAUGACGGCGGCGAAGGAGGCGCUGGCGUUGUCGACCUCGCCGGCGCCAGCGACGACGAGUAGUUUAGUUUUAGGUUUAGAUUUAAAUUUCGUUCUAAGUUAUGUAAAAUAUCUUUAAGUAUGAAUGAAGUCGGAAUGGUUUAUCUGGAAAAAUAUAUCCUUAUGUUUAAUUUGAUAUUAGUCGUGCAACAAAGCUUCGAAAAAUAAACAAAAAUACAUGCAUUUGAGCAUUACGAGACGACAAGUGGUAAAAUAAAACUGAGACAAAACGGCCGGUUCGCUCAUAACAGAACGGCCUCCGGUAAACGAUGUGAAUUUUUCGAAUGACCUCAACGGUCUUCGGAAAAAUCAUGGAUAUUCAUAGAGUAGCAAAAAGCAAUGAAACUUUUCAUAGAUGCUAGUCAUUGAUUAAAAAGUCCUUUCGGAUGGGCCCUUCGCUACCCGUUGAAUGUAUUUGGAGACAAAAAACAAGUAGCGUCACGUCCGGAGAAUGCUUUAAUGUGUUUUCACCGCAAAAAUUGUAGAAAAUACAUAGUGGCAAAAAGCCACGAAAUUUUUCAUGCACACUAGUCAUGAUGAUACAACAGUCAGAAUUUUUUUUUGGGUUUAUUUGAGUUGGUAUGCCCACCCCCACACUCAAUCCAAGAAUUGAACGUAUUUGGACACUAAAAACAUGUUGCGUCACGUCUGGUCAGUGUUUUAGGUGUUUUCAUCAAAAAAUUGUAGAAAAUUCAUAAAGUGGCAAAAAGGUACGAAACUUGUCAUGCAUAGUAGUCAUGAUGGUAGAACACUAUAAAAGAAUUUGGAUUCAUUUGAAGGAUGUCGAAAAAAACUUAUUUUGGACGGGGCCUUCGCUCCUACCCGAACGGUCUCCGGAGAACGAGGUCAAUUUUUUGACAUAUUCGGAAUGACCUCAAAUUUUACAAGUGAGUUGUUAUGCCUACCCCCACACUCCUUCCAAGCAUUGAACGUAUUUGGACACCAGGAACAUGUUGCAUCACAUCCGAGGGGUGCUAUGUGCUGUUUUCACCGCAAAAUUGUAGAAAAUUCAUAAAGCGGCAAAAAGCCAAAAAACUUGUCAUGCAUCCUAGCCAUGUUGGUAGAACACUAGGAAAAAAAUUUGGGUUCAUUUGAAGGAUGUCGGAAAAAAACUUCUUUCGGACGGGGCCUUUGCUCCUACCCGAACGGCCUCCGGAGAACGAGGUCAAUUUUUUGCCAUCUUCAGAAUUGCUUGAAAUUUUGCAAGUGAGUUGGUAUGCCCAUCCCCACACUCAAUCCAAGAAUUGAACGUAUUUGGACACCAAAAACAUGUUGCGUCACGUCCGGUCAGUGUUUUAGGUGUUUUCAUCAAAAAAAAUUGUAGAAAAUUCAUAAAGUGGCAAAAAGUUAUGAAACUUGUCAUGCUUAGUAGUCAUGAUGGUAGAACACUAUGAAAAAAAUUUGGAUUCAUUUGAAGGAUGUCGAAAAAAAACUUCUUUCGGUCGGAGCCCGAACGGCCUCCGGAGAACGAGGUCAAUUUUCUGCCAUCUUUAGAAUGGCUUGAAAUUUUGCAAGUGAGUUGGUAUGCCCACCCCCACACUCAAUCCAAGAAUUGAACGUAUUUGGACACCAAAAACAUGUUGCUUAACGUCCCGUCAGUGUUUUAGGUGUUUUUACCGAAAAAAUUGUAGAAAAUUCAUAAAGUGGCAAAAAGGUACGAAACUUGUCAUGCAUCCUAGUCAUGAUGGUAGAACAUUAUGAACAAAAUUUGGGUUCCUUUGAAGGAUGUCAAAAAAUAAUGUAGAUAGUACUAAUGUAAUUUGACUGAGGUGAGACUAAAUUUGCAUAGUGUGGCAAAUGAUAAAAAACAAGACAAAUAGUAAUGAUGUGAUUUGAGUUUACACUGCAACUAGCAACUCUGACGCACUGCCCGGGCAGUGUAAUGAGCUUACACUGUCCGUGCAGUACGGCAGUGCCGCCCCUGGCAGUGCAAAGUCAAACCAAAUUAUUACUAACUGUCUCAUAUAGCAAUGUGCACGAACGCGGCUAUAUAAGCCGGUCGUGGCGUCCCUCGGCGCGUGAGGUGGGACUAAAGAAGCGCCCCUCCCACCUCCCCCCGCGUCGUGAUGCAUAGAAGGCAAAAAAAAUAGUGAUGCGAAAAAAAGCCCAACCGUGGUUGCAUGCCGCAACUGCGCGUAAUCGGUCCGGCCCGAUCAAGCCGGGCGGCGAAAGGGCCGGCCUUUCGGCCCAGCUACGGCUGGCAGCACAGUCAAACGGGGCAGUGGCGGGACGGGCGGGAAUCAGAGGAGUUCGAAAGGGAGGUGGGAGGCAGGUAUAUAAGGCGGUCGCGACGUCGUUCGGCGGGCGAGGUGGGACUAAACUUUAGUCCUGACCCCCGCCGACCCUGCCCCCGCACCGCGCGCACAGUCAAUGGGCCGGCCCACGCGCGCCGUCGCGCACAGUCACUGGGCCGGCCAACGCGCGCUGUCGAAGACUUUUUUUUGUUUAAAAAAUAGUAUUAAGUUUUUUUAGUUAUUUAUGCCUUUUGUUAUCGUUUAAUUUUUUUCUAUAAUUAAUAAAAAUCCAUACGUAAUAUAGAAUUGUUAACUUGAUUUAUUAUAAUAAUAAUGAGUUGUUUAUUAUAAUUUAUAGGUAAAAAUAAUGAGUUUUUGAUAAUUAAUUGCUAAAACAAUAUUUACAUCAGAAUUGUUAAUUAGAUUUUUAAUAUUUAUGUAAUGUUCAUUAUUUAAUUUUCUAUGUCUUAUUCAUGAAUGCAUAAAAAAAUUGCCAUAAUAAUAAUGAGUUUUUUGUUAUAAUUUAUAAGUAAGAAAAUUGAGUUUUUUGUUAUAAUUUAUAAGUAAAAAUAAUAAGUUUUUCUUUAAUGGCUAACAUUUUUGAGUUUAUUAAUAAAUAAUUUGGAAAACACCCUUAAUAAUUGUACAUAUAUGCAAAGUUUAGUACAGUAAUGUGCAAAGUUUAAAAAUAAGAUAUUCCAUAAUUAUAAAGAAACAAUAUUGAAUAUAGAAUAUUCCAUAAUUAUAAAGAAACAAUAUUUAAUAUGCAUUUUGUUAUCGUUUAGAAAAUAUUCCAUAAUUAUAAAGAAACAAUAUUGAAUAUUGAAUAUUAUUUGUUAAAAAGUGCACGGAGGGACAAAAUGAUAAAAAAUAAGAUAGCUAGUUAAUAAAGUGAUUUGACUUUACAUAGCUGCCCGGGCAGCAGCCGCCCGGGCAGGUAUGUAUGAUCAAAUCUCUUUAGUAUUAGCUAUUUUCUGUAACAAAGAGCAUGAACGCGGCUAUAUAAGCCGGUCGUGGUGUCCCUCGGCACGCGAGGUGGGACUAAAGAAGCGCCCCUCCCACCUCCCCUCGUGCCGUGACUCAUAGAAGGCAAAAAAAAUAGUGAUGCAAAAAAAAGCCCAACCGUGGUUGCAGGCCGCAACUGCGCGUAAUCGGUCUGGCCCGAUCAAGCAGGGCGGCGAAAGGGCCGGCCUUUUGGCCCAGCUACGGCCUGCAGCACAGUCAAACGGGGCAGUGGCGGGACGGGGCGGGAAUCAGAGGAGUUCGAAAGGGAGGUGGGAGGCAGGUAUAUAAGGCGGUCGCGGCGUCGUUCGGCGGGCGAGGUGGGACUAAACUUUAGUCCUGACCCCCGCCGACCCUGCUCCCGCACCGCACAGUCAAUGGGCCGGCCCACGCGCGCCGUCGCGCACAGUCACUGGGCUGGCCAACGCGCCCUGUCGAAGACUUUUUUUGUUUUUUGUUUUUUGUUUCAAAAUAAUAUUAAGUUUUUUUAGUUAUUUAUGCCUUUCGUUAUCGUUUAAUAAAUGUUCUAUAAUUAAUGAAAAGCCCUAUGUAUUGUACAAUUGUUAACAAGAUUUAUUAUAUUUAUGUAAUGUUCAUUAUUUAAUUUGUUAUGUGUUUUGCAUUAAUGGCUAAAGUUGUUUUCAUAAUAGUAAAGAGUUUUUUGUUAUAAUUUAUAAGUAAUAAUAAUUUGGAAAAGACCCUUCAUAAAAAACAAUACUUGAUAUAGAAUUUAUUAAGUAGUUAUAUUAAAAACAAUACUUAAUAUAGAAUUUAUUAUGUAAUUAUAUUAAAAACACUACUUAAUAUAGAAUUUAUUUAGUAUUUAAAUUAUAAGAAAUUCAUACGGUGUCGGAAAAUUAUGAAAACUUGCAUGCAUGAUGGCCCUGGUGAUGCUGGCGUGUGGAAACAUUUGGGGUCCACCGGCUGAGUCAGAAAAGGAAACGCAGUACGGAGCUGACCUCCUUCAUAUCCGAUCAAUGCCGGUUGCAUGGGUGGUACGAGGUGGCAUGCAUGAAACGUCACCCAAUUUUGGGGGCAGUGGGCAUGCCCAUCUUAGGGCCCCACGCAAGAUUUGAACGAAUUCGGACACCAAACGCAUGUUACAUCACACCCGGUUAGUGUUUUCGGUGCGUUUCACGGAAAAAACCAUAAGAAAUUCAUACGGUGUCUGAAAAUUAUGGAAANNNNNNNNNNNNNNNNNNNNNNNNNNNNNNNNNNNNNNNNNNNNNNNNNNNNNNNNNNNNNNNNNNNNNNNNNNNNNNNNNNNNNNNNNNNNNNNNNNNNNNNNNNNNNNNNNNNNNNNNNNNNNNNNNNNNNNNNNNNNNNNNNNNNNNNNNNNNNNNNNNNNNNNNNNNNNNNNNNNNNNNNNNNNNNNNNNNNNNNNNNNNNNNNNNNNNNNNNNNNNNNNNNNNNNNNNNNNNNNNNNNNNNNNNNNNNNNNNNNNNNNNNNNNNNNNNNNNNGUGGAAAAAGUUUGGGGUCCACCGGCUGAGUCAGAAAAGAAAACCCAGUACGGAGCUGACCUCCUUUAUAUCCGAUCAGUGCCGGUUGCAUGGGUGGUACGAGGUGGCAUGCAUGAAACGUCACCCAAUUUUAGGAGGUAGUGGGCAUGCCCAUCUUAGGGCCCCACGCAAGAUUUGAACGAAUUCGGACACCAAACGCACGUUGCGUCACGCCCGGUCAGUGUUUUCGGUGCGUUUCACGAAGAAAACCAUAAGAAAUUCAUACGGUGUCAGAAAAUUAUGAAAACUUGCAUGCAUGAUGGCCCUGGUGAUGAGUGCGUGUGCAAAAAAUUUGAAUGGUUGAAUUAGAUAAAAAACGCAUUAAUAUUUUCUAUCGUUAAAAAUAUAUUGGAGAUAAUGGCUCUCUUUUUGAAGAAUAUGCAUGAUCCAUGUGAACCUUCACAAGCUCUGAGCAGGUGAAGACUCACAUCGAUCCUGCAUAUCCUCCAAAUAGAGUCCCACAAACUCAGAUGUUUGUUCAUGGAGCAAAAGAAAAGUAUAUAAAGGAGUCAACGGCGCGCCGGCUUAGCGAUGUGGUAUUAAACUAGAACCGUUAAAGUACAAUGAAUGUUUUCAAUAAAUGCAUCAUGGGCCAGCCGACGGUAGUAUUACGGGACGGGCCAAGGGGCCCACUAUGGCGUGACCACGUCUAUGACGCCGUACGUGCGUGCAUGGGCAUGGAAACCACGCCGCCAUUACCUCGCCCCAGGACCGCCUAACCCCGUCGCCUCCAUGCACGACCUCACCCGAUCCGACGGUCGCACCGCCAUGGCCGUCCCAACUCCCUUCCUUGCCGCCCUCACGACGGCCAUACACUCCGGCAUCUACGCGUGCGACUUGGAUCUCGGCCCGGCCGGGCCGUCUCGGCAAAGUCGCCCGCACCCAGAACCCUAGGGCGGGCCGUCGGCCACCGCGGUGGUGUGGGCAGAGGGCGCGCGGCUGCCACGACUAACCCACACCGGGUGGGGUUAGCCAACGGAGGCCGCCGGUGCACCUCGUGGCGCCGGAAGGUAUGGUAUUAAACCAUAUGUAAUGUUUUUUGAAUCUCGUAACUAGUUAGAUAACUUUCAUCUUAUUUAGAAUGCAAGAAUUCGGAGAUGUGUACUGCUCGGUUGAGAAGUGGUGCGAAUUGGUGGGAAAAUUCACACCCAGACAGCGCAUGAUGCUACGUGGCACAAAUUUGGACAGUAUGUUGAGAAUUCCUUCAGUGAAAAUGAGGAAAAAUUUAUUGGAAUUUAUGAUUACAACGUAUGAUAGUAGUAGAAAGCGAUUUAUUAUUCAGCCAAAUACUGACGGCAUCAGUGUGCUUAAUGAAGAUGUUUAUGACAUAUUCGGGCUACGUAACGAGGGUGAUGAUGUCAAUAGCAUGAUAGCAACAGUACAACUAAACGCCAAAAAAUUGUUCCGAAUCGGUUUUUAGACAAAAGAACAGGCCUAAUCCUCAUCGAUGACUUGAUAAAAAAUAUUAUUGAUAGUCAGUCAUAUGAUGAUGAUUUUGUGAGAAGGGACGUACUGGUUCUUAUGGGUACAGUCUUAGCACCACAAUCCACCAAGUUUGUUCCUUAUCGUUAUUACAAAAUGGUGGAGGACAUGAACGCUAUCAAGUCAUACAAUUGGAACGAUUUCACGUUGGGGGUGUGCAUGGAUGCUAUUAAAAAACGGUCGAAGAUCUUGAAAAAUUCAAGUGGCCUAUUGGGAACUUGGCUCAUCUCCAGGUACAAGUCAUUUCGUAAUAGUUGUAUGUACAUAUAUUUUUUUAUGUGAUCUAUGUGUCUGACUAUUUGUGUUUACUAUCAUGCAGUAUAUAUACUGGGAAAAACUUGAGCCAAUUGGUGUGGAUACAUUUGAUCCUUUGUCUCGUGAAUACCCACUAAUGCUUAACUGGCCAGAAACGGAAGGGAAAAAGCGAGACGACUAUGACAACAUGCACGGGCGGGGUACCGGCAAUGUAAGUCAAUAAGUAUAAUCCUUAUUGGUUUCACAUAGUAAUUAAGUCAAUAAGUAUAGUCCUUAUCUGUUUGCAUCGUCACCACAUUCAAUUCUAGCAAGUUCUCUUAAUAUGACUCCGGAUCACAUAGAGGCAGCCAAAGUUUUUGUUGAGACUCUUGCAUCGUCAAAGAAGCAUGCACACCGAACCGUGGUUGAUGUGCCGCCAUCAGAUGGGGACAUAUGCACGCCAGCUAUGCUUCACGAUGUCCUAAUGUUUAAAUGGUUGAAUGGCGCUGUAAGUAUGAGUUUGUUUUUAACAAAACCCUCAUUUGUACUUCAUAAGUUGAUAGAAUUUUUUUGUUUAUGUAUGCAGAUCAUCAAUGCAUAUUCUAAACACCUACAACACCGUGAUUUUUCUGAUCGUUACAUAUCAACAACGUGGUUCCCCAAAUUUAAGUUGAAUAGGGCAAGGGGAAAGACCAAGUCAGUAAAUGAUAUAGACUCAGAGAAUCUUACAAAGAAAACAAAAGUCCUCACAAGAGUAAUGGAUGAGUAUUUCAGACGGGACAAGGUAUUGCUUUCAUAUGUAUUUGUUUUUAUUAGUCAAUACUAUUUAAUUGCACUAACAUCAUUUGGUUACUAUGUAGGCGUAUUUUCCUAUGUAUGUUAAUGAUAAUCAUUGGAUAACCAUAGUGAUGCACACCGUCAAGGAGGAGUUUCAAGUUCUUGACUCAAAUUCUAAAGGCGCAAUUAGCCAAAGAAUUCGCAAUAUGAUUGCCACCCUGGUACGCUAUAAUUUUCGCACUCGCAUUCAGAAAAAUAUUGGGUCAUACAUUAUAUUCUGGUUUUGUUAAUUUGUUUCAGAGAGCUGAAAUUUCUAAGGAUAUUAUGGAGGCCAACUCAACUCUUGAAGCAAAAAAAAUUCCAGAUGUCUCAUCGUGGCCAAUAAAUGAGUACAAAAUGCCGAGACAAAAAGAUGGGUAAGUUAAUACUGCAUACAACUAGUACAAGCAAGUGCAUGCUACAUUGUAAGCUGAUCACACAUGUUUAUUGCAGAGUGUCUUGUGGAAUUUUUGUGAUGUGGUGCAUAAAAUACUGGGACGGAGAUCGCUGGACAUAUGAAUUUGACCAGGAAGAGAUUAAUGCGUCAAGGCCACGUAUUGUCGCGGAAAUUAUUUUUUCAGAGGUGAACAAAUUAGAGAAGGUCAAGAUGAAAAUUGUUAAAAUCAUGGAGAAGGAAUAGGUAUUAGCAUCGGUAGGGUUUUAGUCCCGUAGAAGGUUUCUCUGCCGUUGUUGGGUACUUUAUUCGAUUGUAAUGCGACAUGGCACUUUCAGUUUAUUUGUUUUCCUACUUUGUUAAAGGAUAUGAGACAUGGCACUUUCAAUUUAUUCCUUAUGCCACCUUGUUCAACGUUAUGAGACAUGCGAUUUUUAUUGUUAUGUGUGAAACAUGAUAUAUUUGUAUGAAUGUGUUACUGCUGUCAUGACUUUCUAGACUGUUUAGCAUUUUAAAAAAUUAAUCUAUGUGAAAAAAACAUAUUUAAAAAAAGGCCCAGCCAUGGCCGGGCGCGCGCAUGGACAGUAAACUAGAACGCCUUCGGGAAGGCCUUUCGGCCGCCGAGCGGGGAGGCCACGGCGUACAACAAGGCAUUCAUUAGUGUUCUGUAGUGGGCUUGUGAGACGGCGACGACGCGGGUAUAUAAACCGGUCGUCGCGUCUCUCCGCGGGCGAGGUGGGACUAAACCUAAUCGCCAUAACGCGCCAGCGUCCCCAGCCGCACACGAAGAGGCCUUAAAGGGCCGGCCCACGCACCCGACGCGCAUCGUUAAUGGGCCGACAGAUCGCCAUAAAUCCCCUCGGGAUCGUUGCAUGUGCCCGCUCGGUCGGGCGAGACGAGACGUCUGCCACCGGGCCCGUGGUUGUCGCUCGGUCGGCUGCUGGGCCACCAGACGCGCGCGUGGCGCACGGCGAAUCGCGCCAGCCCGCACUAGCUGGACUGCACAGGCCCGCCACUGCCUCGGCUGUCGGCCACCGCACGGGCUGGGCUGGAAUAUUCGUCCUCGGCGCGCCAAUCAUGCUGCCAGGCCGAUCUUCAUCGGAUCCAGCGCCGUUGCUGCCACCAGAAUCGCCCUGGGAUAUUGUGCACGUUUUGUCCACAUCGCGCCAACUCAGGAUGGCGGGGAUAUUUUUUAUAAAAAAAGUCCGCCGCGAAUACAAACAACAACAGUACAUAUAACAUCACAGCCGCAAACUGAUACAUUUUAGCACAGCAAAAAUAUUACUUGCCCACACUUAUAACAUUCUAUCUCACAAAAUAGUACCGUUGAUAGUUGGACACACAUUUAAAUGUUUAGUCUCACACGAAAGCGACAAAUAAAAUGUGAAAAAAUUGUCUUCAAAUAUAGUACGACAUGCUAAUUGAACUCUGUUCCAGUGCCUUCCAUUGAUUAUUAAUACUUCAUCUUUAUGCCCGGUUCCUACAUAACAAAUUGUAAACAACUCAUCAGGCAAUUGUAAAGAGAGAAAAAAAAAUAAUUAAAAAAUGUAAAACUUAGUGGGUGCUUGGAUCCAAGGGACUUAUUUUAGUCUGACUAAAAAUAGUCUCUUUAAGCGGCUAAAGUUCCAAGCACCCCUGACUAAAGAGGGGCUAAAACUAGUCUUGACUAAAUUUUUUUAGUUAGGGGUACCCCUACUAAAAUGUGGAUUAGUCCUCUCUAUCCUCAUUUAACUUCUCUCCUUUAACACAUGCGAGUUCUGGAUUGGAGGGUUUGGAGGAUAAUAAAUGCUCAUUAAUUUGAUUUUAGUCUCUUUAGUAUUUGGAUCCAAGCAUGGGUGAGGCUAGCAAGUUUUAGUACCACUACUUUUAGUCAUGAGACUAAAACGUAUCCAAGCACCCUCUUACUUUUCAUUCUCAGGGCACGUUUGUCGUCUAUGGCCCUCUUUCUUACAAAUGCCACAAAGAGGACCGGGUUUUCUCUCAGAAAAUGAUUUUGGUCUUCCAUUUUUUGUAACAUUUGGAUCUUUCUUUGCCCGCCCUGUCAUGCUCUUUUUAGGGGCGCCCUUCGUGGAAACUUUCACGGGAUCACCUAUGACAUCAACAUGUUGUUCCGGCUCACAUGGCUCCUCAUGCACAUUUCUUCUACUACCAACAGCAUCAUCAUCAGGGACCUUUUUCUUCGCUAUUAUAUUCUGCAGACACUGCAUCAACUCAUCAAAGACGAAUGGAUCAUUUGAAGCAACAUGGAAAGUUUCUGCUCCUGUUAUACUGAGUUGACUAUAGCGAGCACGCUGCUCUGCCCCUGUCCAACCCCAGCCAAACAUGUCACUCUUCCGCUGUGCACGCAGCCCACCUCUCGCAACUUUCGACAUCCUCUUAAGGAUGCAACACUUAGGUAUUUUAGAUACUUUCAGAUGAACCAACACAUACAGAAUGUGUUUGCAAGGCAACCCUUUCCAAAGCAUUCGUCCACAACUGCAGUCUAUCGUAUUCUCAGAGUUUUCAGCUAGAUAAUUCACGCUGAACUGAAAUUUGUGGUUAUUUCUCAAUGUCACGAUGAAGGUGUGGCAGUCAACUCCCACUAGCGUCUCAAAAAUCUCAAGCUCUCCCAUCUUCUUCAGAUCUUGUUGAAGAAUAUAAAAAUUGGCAUGAGUGAAUACUUCGGCAGCAUGCUUCUCAAUGUCCUUAUAUUCUGUGACUGAUGGUGGCAAUGACUGAUUUGAAACACAGUCAUCAUGCGCCUCGUUCUCACGUAGUCGAACUAUGCAAUUCUCAUAAUGCACAACUAGAUCAACAAUAGUCAUACCGCCGUCCAGGUGAAGGUGAAGACAAGAGUUAAGGCUUUCACUCCUCUGAUUACUGCGCAUACCCUGAAAAAAACCAUCUGAUAGAUAUGAUGCUGCCCACAGACUCCUCUUCCUGUACAUCCUAUGCAGCCACUCUUCUGUUUUAUCAGUCUUCCAUUUAUGGACAAAAGCGUGCCAUCUCGCGUCAAAGUUGGCCGGAGAGGUGGAGUAGUACAAGAGUGCCCUGAACUCAUUUAGCGAUUUGUAAUUAAGGUGCUUCUGCAUAUUUUUUUCCACGUGCCAUGAGCAGAGACGGUGCAACACAUCAACCAAAACCAACCGAAUAGCUCGUAUCAUUCCAGCGUCUCCAUCUGUGAUGAUUGACCUUGGCUUCUUCUGACAAUUGGCCUUCAGGAAUGUGUGGAGCAGCCACACGUACGUCGCUUCGGUCUCGUCGGACACAAUGGCACAACCAAACACUGUGGUGCAACGGUGAUUAUUUACACCAACAAAGGGGAUGAACGGGCAUACCAUAUCUGUUCAUCUUAUACGUGUUGUCAAACACAAUCACAUCUCCAUACAACCGAUAGUCUCGCCGCGACUGCGCAUCGCACCAGACAUGCUCUUCAAACGGCCCUCCUUAUCGAGCACGUACUCAAAGAAAAAGUCUGGAUCCUUCUCCUUUCUGCUCCUCAUAAUCCCAAUUGUCGUGUUACCAUCACCCUUCGCAAUCAACUUCAUUUUUUCUCGGCAACAUAGGUUGUAGACGUCUCGUCUCAGAAACCCACACUUAUCAUACGAGCCAUACCUGCUAAUGAAGUUGUCGACGAUGAUAUGCUUUCUGAUCCCAGCUCCUUCCAUCGCCAAGAUCUCAGCUAUCUGGUGAUCUCCCAUCACUCUAUGCGACCGCAGAAAUACCACCUCAUCUGCUCUAGCCAACAAAUGGUUGUGAUCAUCCAUAAAAGCUGCCACGAACCAAACUCCGCGUCCUUUGUCCAACUUCACGACUAAAUGUGCGCCACACCCGCAACGAGUCUCAGGUCUUAGCCUGCGGGUACGGCCCUCCGGGUGUAAAAAUUUACUGAGACGUUUUCCUGCCCUCGAGCAAACGUACUGCCUAUACCGAAUAGUGGUUGAAAGACCUUUUCCUCGUUUUACCUUAUCUUUUCUGAUACUGAAUCCACGGUCUUUGGCGUAGUUAUUAUAGAACAUGUAAGCAUCCCAUUGUGAUGCAAAUGUCAUACCCAUAACCUUCAACUGUGUCUCCAGCGCACGUUGCUGGAUUUCAGCCUCCUCAAUGUCCAUAUUAGCUCCAUCCUCAUGCUCAUAGCCAUCAUCACCACUCCAACCAUCGAAGUUAGCCUACAAUAUUCCACAUAAGCAAGUGUAAGUUGUCAUUAACAAGUUUUUAUUAUUGUAUGACAUCUUAAAGUUUGGACCCAACCUGGCUUAUGUUAUCCGCGAAAGAUUCAACACCAUGUUUUUCCUCGUUCUGGACGUCAAUAUCCUCCUGCACAUAAAAAAAAUCAUAUGCACAUGUAAGUACCCAUAUGGUUCUUCGUCCGACAAAAUGAAUGUACACGUCACUUACAUUUUCACUACAAGCACCCUCCUCCUUCUUUUGAAAAUCCUCCUCAGGUAAAUUAUCGUACGACGACCAGGAUUCAUUGUCGCUGCUAUCAUCAUCAUUUUUACUUUCAUUACCAUUCGUACGAUCAACACUAUCGCUACGAUCCCACUCACUCGUCUCCAAGAACAAAUCCGUAAAUCCAGUUUCUUUAUCCAUUGAAUGACCUCACUACCAACACUGCAACAUUUAAAAUACAAAUUGACCUAUCAAUUUUAAAUCAAAUUAAAUGUACUACGGUCAUACCGAUUAGUACUUCAUAUCUAACAAGUGAUUGCAGAUAUGUAACGCUCGGAUAAUUAGGCUACAGUAAAACUCUCCUAAUGAUGCCAUGUCAUCUCUGUUUACUGUUACUAAACUCUCGUUAGUUCAAAACCCGUUCAAAAGUCAAAUUCAAAAUAUAUCAAACAACAAAAGUUUUCAAAAGCUGAAACAAAAAUGUUCGGGCAGUGCCAAAAAUGGCAUAGGUAAUUAUGGUGUAGAAGACACGAUUUUAUAAAAUACUUAAAUGCCCUAAAUUAAAUAAGACAGAAAAGGAAAAGAAAAGAAAAUACAAAAGCAGAAGACAAAAGAGAAAAAAAAAGAGAAAAGGACCCCCUGGACCAGACGGCCCAGCUCGCAGCCAGGCCGGCCCACCUGGCCCAGCUUGCCAACCGUCGGCCCAGCCCCCCUGCCUCGUCUCCCUUCCCUGUUCCCCCGACCCGAGUUGGAACAGGGGCGCGUCGCCACCGGACCCCCCUCGCCGGCGUCGAGGAGAGGAUAAGGCCGCCACGCCCCCGCCUCCUCGAUCCCGCCUCCCACUCGCCCCCACUCUCGCCCUCGGUUCCUGCGCCUCUGCGCCUUCCCCCUCAGAUCCACCUCUCUCCCCCCUCGUUCCCCACCGCAACCGAGCGCCGCCAUGGCCUCGCCGCCAUAGAACUCGCGGCCACCGCGACCUCCGCGCCUCUCCGAUGUGUCCGCUCGCUCCGCCUCCCUCGACUACGCCUCCCCGUCAAGCCGCAGGACGCCGGGCACCCUCGAACGCUGCCCCGGCCUCGUCUUCUUCCUCGGAUCCCCGGCGUGCCUCCGACGAGCGCCGUCGACUCUGCAGCUCCUAAACCCCCCAAGGGCCUUUCGUGUGUGCCGCUCGGUGAGCUCCACCCCUCCUGCUCUCCGUUUGCUCUCUCGCACGCCCUAGCUAGCUGCCGCCGAAGCGCCCGAACGCAGCGCCGCGGAGCUCAUCGCCAACGAGUCUCCGGUGACCAAAUGGUCACGGGCGUGUUGCCAUUGAACUCGCCGCGUCGAGUAGGGCCCGACUAGCCCUCCCGUUGCCGUUGCUCGCCCGAAACACUCCGCCGCCGACGAGCUCGUGGCCGUCGCCACGGCCGUCGUCUUGCUCGCCUGAGCCCGUCACCGUGUUCCUGGAGCUUCCAGGAACCCAACGCGCGCGCACAUGCCUUCCUGUGCCCCCUAGCGCUGGAUCCACUCACGCCCGACUCCGACCAUCCGCCGAUGGGCUCGCCGCCGUCACUUCCGGCCAUCUCCGGCCACGCCACCGCCACCACUAGAUGCGCCUCUUCACGCUCGUUCGAACGAGCCCAUGCGCGCACGGAUCCGUGCCCUGUGCGCAUUUUCCGGCGAACUCCAGCGGGUCAGCGCCGUGCAUUUGGUCGCUGGCGGCGAGAGCCGGCCGCGCUGACCUGGCGUCGCGGGUCCCACCGCCUGGGCCACUGACUGGUGGGCCCAGGGCCCCCUGUUGACCAGUUGACUGAGUCAACUGCUGACUGGGCCGCCCCUGUCUCACUGACCUAUAGGCCCCACCUCAAUAAACAAAAUAAAUAAAAGAAUAAUUAGUUAAUUAAAUAGUUUAGUUAAUUAAAUAGUUUAGCUAAUUAAAACCCUAAUCUCUCACUCACUACUGGGCCCCACUCGCUGAUUAGGUUAGUUAGGUUAAAAUAACUUUGUUAGUUAAGCUCUGUCACUGACAUGUGGGUCCCACUGGAACCACCUGUCUGGUUUGACUAGUCAACCACACUGUUGACUGCUGACAUCACACAUAUGUCAUGCUGACGUCAUCCCAUACUGUUCUGGAUAAUGUUGGAUUUAAAUAAAUAAUUAAAAUCAGAAAAUGAUUAAAACAUUAGAAAAUCAUAUAAAAUAAUCCGUAACUCGGAUGAAAAUACUUUCUACAUGAAAGUUGCUCAGAACGACGAGACGAAUCCGGAUACGCAGCCCGUUCGUUCACCACACGUCCCUAGCAUAGUGAACCUACAACAUUUCACCUCCGGUCCAUCUGUCCGAAAACGCAAAACAUCGGGAAUACUUUCCUGGAUGUUCCCCCCUUCGCCGGUAUCACCUAGUACCGCGUUUGGGCACACCUAGCCUCACGCUUUGUCAUGUCAUGCAUCGUUAUGCAUCUGUUUGCAUUGUAUUCAUUGUUUCUUCCCCCUCUUCUCUCCGGUAGACUACGAGACCGACGCCGCUGCUGGUGCCCCGACCGACUACGCUGUUGACGACCCCUCCUUCUUGCCAGAGCAAUCAGGCAAGCCCCCCCUUGAUCACCAGAUAUCGCCUAUUCUUCUCUAUACUGCCUGCAUUAGAGUAGUGUAGCAUGUUACUGCUUUCCGUUAAUCCUAUCCUGAUGCAUAGCCUGUCCUUGCUACUACUGUUGUUACCUUUACCUUCAAUCCUACAUGCUUAGUAUAGGAUGCUAGUUUUCCAUCAGUGGCCCUACAUUCUUGUCCGUCUGCUGUGCUAUACUAUCGGGCCGUGAUCACUUGGGCGGUGAUCACGGGUAUAUACUUAUAUACUCUAUACAUGAUACCUGUGGUGACUAAAGUCGGGUCGGCUCGUAGGAGUACCCGCGAGUGGAUCUUGUUGUGGAGCGACAGGGCAGGUUGAGACCACCUAGGCGAGAGGUGGGCCUGGCCCUGGACGGCGUCCGCGGUUACUUCAAAAUAACACGCUUAACGAGUUCUUGGUAUUUGAUCUGAGUCUGGCCAUUUGGUCUAUACGCACUAAUCAACUACGCGGGAACAGUUAUGGGCACUCGACGUCGUGGUAUCAGCCGAAGCCUUCGUGACGUCAGCGACCGAGCGGCGCGCGCCGCAUUGGACCGUAAGCUCGCACUUGUAUUAAGGGGGCUAGGUCUGCUUCCGGCCGCGUACGCAACGUGCAGGUGUGCAAUGGGCGAUGGGCCCAGACCCCUGCGCGCAUAGGAUUUAGAUCGGCGUGCUGACCUCUCUGUUGUGCCUAGGUGGGGCUACGACGUGUUGAUCUUCCGCGGCCGGGCAUGACCCAGAAAAAUGUGUCCGGCCAAAUGGGAUCGAGCGUGUUGGGUUAUGUGGUGCACCCCUGCAGGGAAGUUUAUCUAUUCGAAUAGCCGUGUCCCUCGGUAAAAGGACGACCCGGAGUUGUACCUUGACCUUAUGACAACUAGAACCGGAUACUUAAUAAAACACACCCUUCCAAGUGCCAGAUACAGCCCGGUGAUCGCUCUUGUGACGCCCUCAAUUCAAUCGUACACUAAUCAUGCACGCAAACGUGUACGAUCAAGAUCAGGGACUCACGGGAAGAUAUCACAACACAACUCUGAAACAUAAAUAAGUCAUACAAGCAUCAUAAUACAAGCCAGGGGCCUCGAGGGCUCGAAUACAAGUGCUCGAUCAUAGACGAGUCAGCGGAAGCAACAAUAUCUGAGUACAGACAUAAGUUAAACAAGUCUGCCUUAAGAAGGCUAGCACAAACUGGGAUACAGAUCGAAAGAGGCGCAUGCCUCCUGCCUGGGAUCCUCCUAAACUACUCCUAGUCAUCGGCAGCAGCCUGCACGUAGUAGUAGGCACCUCCAGUGUAGUAAGAGUCGUCGUCGACGGUGGCGUCUGGCUCCUGGGCUCCAGCAUCUGGUUGCGACAACCAGGUAGAAAGGAACGGGGGGAAAAGAGGAAGGAAAGCAACCGUGAGUACUCAUCCAAAGUACUCGCAAGCAAGGAGCUACACUACAUAUGCAUGGGUAUAUGUGUAAAGGGCCAUUUCGGUGGACUGAACUGCAGAAUGCCAGAAUAAGGGGGGGGGGGAAGCUAGUGCUGUCGAAGACUACGCUUCUGGCAGCCUCCAUCUUGCAGCAUGUAGAAGAGAGUAGAUUGAAGUCCUCCAAGUAGCAUCGCAUAGCAUAAUCCUACCCGGCGAUCCCCUCCUCGUCGCCCUGUUAGAGAGCGAUCACCGGGUUGUAUCUGGCACUUGGAAGGGUGUGUUUUAUUAAGUAUCCGGUUCUAGUUGUCAUAAGGUCAAGGUACAACUCCGGGUCGUCCUUUUACCGAGGGACACGGCUAUUCGAAUAGAUAAACUUCCUUGCAGGGGUGCACCACAUAACCCAACACGCUCGAUCCCAUUUGGCCGGACACACUUUUCUGGGUCAUGCCCGGCCGCGGAAGAUCAACACGUCGCAGCCCCACCUAGGCACAACAGAGAGGUCAGCACGCCGGUCUAAAUCCUAUGGCGCAGGGGUCUGGGCCCAUCGCCCAUUGCACACCUGCACGUUGCGAACACGGCCGGAAGUAGACCUAGCCUAGCAGGCGUUCCAGUCCAAUCCGGCGCGCGCCGCUCAGUCGCUGACGUCACGAAGGCUUCGGCUGAUACCACGACGUCGAGUGCCCAUAACUGUUCCCGCGUAGUUGGUUAGUGCGUAUAGACCAAAUGGCCAGACUCAGAUCAAAUACCAAGAUCUCGUUAAGCGUGUUAAUUGAUGUAACCGCGGACACCGACCAGGGCCAGGCCCACCUCUCACCUAGGCGGUCUCAACCUUCCCCGUCGCUCCGCCACAAAGAUCCACCCAGAGGGCCAUCGGGACAAAGGUCCUUUCAGCCCCCAAUCCGUGAAUCACUCGCGGGUGCUCCACGAGCCGACCCGACUUUAGUCACCACAUGUAUCAUGUAUAAAGUAUAUAGUAUAUACCCGUGAUCACCUCCCGAGUGAUCACGGCCCGAUAGUAUAGCACAGCAGACGGACAAGAAUGUAGGGCCACUGAUGGAAAACUAGCAUCCUAUACUAAGCAUGUAGGAUUGCAGGUAAAGGUAACAACAGUAGUGGCAAAGACAGGCUAUGCAGCAGAAUAGGAUUAACGGAAAGCAGUAACAUGCUACACUACUCUAAUCCAAGCAGUAUAGAGAAGAAUAGGCGAUAUCUGGUGAUCAAGGGGGGGGGGCUUGCCUGGUUGCUCAGACGAGAAGGAGGGGUCGUCGGUGACGUAGUCGAUCACAGUGGCAUCGGCAGCCAUCACGGGGUCUACCGAAGAGGAGAUGGGGGAGAAACAGUAAAUACAUAGCAAGCAAGAGCAUAACAGGACAACAGGCAGAGCUAGACGUGUUCUAACGCGGUGCUACACGCUACCGGUGAAGGGGGUAACAUCCGGGAAUGCUUUCCCGAAGUUUGGCAUUUUCGAACAGACGAACCGGAGGAGGAAAGUUCGAUGUUUGCUAUGCUAGGGAUGUGUGGCGGAUGAAUGGGCCGCGUAUUCGGGUUCGUCUCGUCAUUCUGAGCAACUUCCAUGUAGAAAACAUUUCCAUCCGAGUUAUGGAUUAAUUUCUAUGAUUUUUCAAAGUUUUAAACAUUUUCUGGAAUUAUUUUAAAUCAAAAGAACUUAAUGCGCCAGCAUGAUGUCACCUGACGUCAGCAGUCAACCUCCAGUUGACUGGUCAAGCUGACGUCCAGAACCCACCUGUCAAAGACAACGGGGGUUUAACAGCGUUUAACUUAAUCUAAACUAGAUACUUAAUCUACUGGGCCCACCUGUCAGUACCUAAUUAAGUUAAUUAAUUAUUAAUUUUAAACGUUUUAGUUAAAAAGGGGAGGUGGGCCCUAUCUGUCAGCUGCUGGGCUGGUCCAGUCAGCAGAGCUGACCGGUCAACAGGCCGGACGGGCCCCUGGGGCCCACGGGUCAGUGACCCAGGUGAUGGCCCCGGGCCGACCACGUCAACGCGGGCAACGGCGUUUAACCGCCGGUGGCCAUAGCCACGGGGGAGGGUCGGGCGCGCACCGGAAUCCAUCUAGGGGCGGCCUUUUCGCGAGCAGUUCGCACCGUUCGAACGCGUGCACGACGCCGAGUCGGGUGGUGGUGGUGGCUCGCCCGGGGACGGCCGGAGACGGCGCCGGCGUGGAGCACGGGCGGCGGUGGCCUUCGGGCGCUCGACGACGAUGGUGAUUCGGGACACGGCUCGUCGUGCGGGGCGGCUCUACGGGCGGCUGGUGCUCGCGCGCAUCCAUUGCCGUAGUCGGUAGUAGGCGGGAGCGACGAGCUCACCGGAGACGAGCUCACGGCGGCGGCCGGAGCACUGGCCCAUCGAGGAAGGCGCCAAGGGGAGUGGGAGGAGUAGCGGGCGCAUGCAGUGGGUGCAGGCGGAGGUGCUGAGCACGACGGGGGUGGUCGGCUGCGAGCUCCGCGAGCCGUGGCCACGGCGGCGAGCACCACCGCGGCGACGAGCUCGGGCACGACGAUGGGAGCAGCUACGGGGGAAGAAGAGAAGCGCGAGGAGAGGGGAAAGGGGGCGGGGCUCACAGUGAGGCACACGGUGGCCGGCGACAACUUAGUAGCAGCAGGGGGGCCGGAGUGGACGGCGACGACCGAACGGGGAAGGCGGCGAUCCGGCGAGGCAGAGGGGCUCCGAGGUCCGUGGCGUGGUCACGGUCGUCGUGGUCGAGGACGAGGGGGGCUCCUGGACGCAGGCGGACGGAGGACGGCCGCCGGUGGCCACACGCACAACGAGGCCGCGGCGACGGCUACGCCUGGGCCAGCGCGGCGCAAUAGAUCUGGGGGAGGGGGAGAGAGGAGUGGGGAAGCCAGGUGGCAAGUGAGAGUGGCAGGGGGCGAGGCAGAGGCGCCAUGGGGAGGUGGAGGCCUUAUCCACAUCUGGGCGCCGACGGCGAGGUGGGUUCGGCGGGGACGCGGCUCGGGCACGCACUGGGUCGGGUGAACAGAGAGGAGGGAGGCGACCGGGGGAGGUUCUUUUACCUUUUUUUGUUGGUCUUGUUUUUUUCUUUUUCUUUUAUUUAUUUUCCUACUCUGUUUUAAUUCAACUUAAACUAUUUAUGCAUUUGUAAAAGUGUGGUACCUUCACCUUAAAUACCUAGGCAUUAUUUGGCACACUCCGAACAUUUUUGUUUUAAUGUUUGAAAACUUUUAUUGUUUGACUUUAUUUUAAAUUUGAAUUUGAAUGGGUUUUGAAUCAACGCGAGGUUAUCAACAGUAACUGAGGUGACGUCGCAUCAUUAGCAGGGAAUUACUGUAGCUUAAUUAUCCGGGCGUCACAGCUCUCUAACAGGGCGACGAGGAGGGGAUCGCCGGGUAGGAUUAUGCUAUGCAAUGCUACUUGGAGGACUUCAAUCUACUCUCUUCUACAUGCUGCAAGAUGGAGGCUGCCAGAAGUGUAGUCUUCGACAGGACUAGCUAUCCCCCCCUUAUUCUGGCAUUCUGCAGUUCAGUCCACCGAUAUGGCCCUUUACACAUAUACCCAUGCAUACAUAGUGUAGCUCCUUGAUUGCGAGUACUUUGGAUGAGUACUCACGGUUGCUUUCCUUCCUCUUUCCCCCCCCUUUCCCUUAUACUUGGUUGUCGUAACCAGAUGCUGGAGCCCAGGAGCCAGACGCCACCGUCGACGACGACUCCUACUACACCGGAGGUGCCUACUACUACGUGCAGCCCGCUGACGACGACCAGGAGUAGUUAGGAGGAUCCCAGGCAGGAGGCCUGCGCCUCUUUCGAUCUGUAUCCCCGUUUGUGCUAGCCUUCUUAAGGCAAACUUGUUUAACUUAUGUCUGUACUCAGAUAUUGUUGCUUCCGCUGACUCGUCUAUGAUCGAGCGCUUGUAUUCGAGCCCUCGAGGCCCCUGGCUUGUAUUAUGAUGCUUGUAUGACUUAUUUAUGUUUUAGAGUUGUGUUGUGAUAUCUUCCCGUGAGUCCCUGAUCUUGAUCGUACACGUUUGCGUGCAUGAUUAGUGUACGAUUAAAUCGGGGGCGUCACAAGAUAAUUAUUUAUAGGUACAAUUUUUUUGACAAACUAGACGGCUUACAUGGCAGGUACGUGCACUUCGGCCGGCCUGGCCUGGCUGCGGACGCCGAGGACGUUCCCGGAGAGGUUGAUCACGAAGUUGCGGGCGGCGACGGCGUCCACGUAGGCCACGUCACCGCGACAACCUGCACGGAGGCCAGAUCACGUACGGCGGGCGACUCCAACAACGUCCACGGCGGCCAGAUCCUGGGUGAAGACGGGAAAAUGGUCGGCGAUCGGCGGGGAAAGGCGGCGAUCGGCCGGACGGGGAGACGUUGGAAUUGGCAGCGUGAUCACGGCUAGAUCGGCGGGAAAAUGCGGCGAUCGGCGGGUAAGGGCGGCGAUCGGCGGGGCGGGGCGACGUUGGAAUGGGCCGCGUGAUCAAUGCAGGUCGUGGGUCUUUUUUUCGCGCGACGGGAGGGGUAGAUGCGAGCCGGCCGUAUCGGCUCGAGCCGUGCGCUCGGCUCUACCUGUAUGGGCACGCCGCAUACGGUGCGGGAUACGUUAAACACCAUAUGCCCAAAAUGCCUUUAUACGUUAAGCGGGGGUGCGCGCGCGCGCGCCGAAGCAGACCUCUUAUAUGUUUUCUCUAACUGCAUCCUUCCAAUCUUAAUCAAAUGUUAAUGAGAUUGUCGCUAAUUGGGUUUGUCGGUUCAUUUCAGACCCCAGCAUGGUGUAGCAGAGGAGCUACACUAAUCACUGGAGACUCUGGAGUGAAGUUCAAGCACAUCCAUGCUUAAGAGGGCCGACGGAUGACACAACACACAGAUACUGAUCAGUGGUAGAUCGAGUAGAGUGGAUGGAGACCUUUGGUGUCAGAAUUUUUGUCGGCCUCCAUGUAGAGGAAUGAUCCUUCUCUGAAUUCUUUCAUUCAUAUCUGCAUAGACACAGAAAACUUUUUUUUUGCGAAUAUAAAGACACAGAAAAACUUGAUACAUAUGUAGAAUGCCCAUGGAUGUACGUAGACCUUUGUUUUGCGCUAAGUCGAAUGCACAUUUCUUCCAUGAAUAUAACCACUAUUUGUUAUUAUCUUCCCUGUGCAUCCAUCUUUGAUGAUGGAUGUGUGCAAUUUGAGCCAAGGUUGUGGCGUAUGUUCGAUAGGUAAGUGCUUUUGCUGUUCACUGCGGCGGCACCUGUUGAGUUUCUUUUGAUGGUUCGAUGCAUAUUUUCCUUUUGUUGAACGGUGCUAUGCAUUUUCAUGUGAUGGAAAACCGCAAUUUGUUUUAUACUCUGGUGCUUCAGAACAAAUUUCUGGCAUGUUUGAUCUCUUUGCGGUCCAUUCAUGCAAUUAGUUUUGCACCUAUAUAGAGUAUAUGCUGCAGUGAAAUGCUAUUUGCUCUAGAGCAGUUUUAGCAAUUCGGAGGAAUUGUUCUAGAAAAAGAAAGCAAGACGGAGGACUUCUACCGUUCGGAAAAGAGAUAAACACAUCAUUGGUCACUGAACUCUUGCAAGAUGAGCACAUUGGUCACUCUUCUCCCAAAAUGUAAUGAACCGGUCACAACACUCAAUUUUAUGAGCAAACUGGUCGCUCUGCCGUUUCCUGCCAUAACGGCCGCCUAGGUGGCAUGCUGACUCAGCGUUGGGACCACAGCUGCAACAUGUGCGCAUAUCAGAGGGCAGGAUUUUUUGCAAGAAAGACCCUGAAAACAUUAACUCAGAAUAGGUCAAGGUUGCACCGGUUUAUGGCCCACCUGCAAGCCUCUUACGAAUCAUACACAAGCUGCUUAGAUGCCGAUUACGAGCGCGGCACGGCGGCGACGCGCGCGUAGGCGCAGAAGAGAGCUACGUGAGGUGAGAGUUGGCACGGGGGCCAUGCGGGAGUGAGGCUGCACCGGCCUGGGGUGGUGGGAGCGUGCGGGGGCUGGCCGCAGACACAUCGACAGUGACCUCCCGUGGCGGCUUCAACGGCACUAGGGCUCAUGCGGGUUAGAGAGGACGGAAGAGACGGAGAAGAGGUGCACCAGCAUCGAAGGCUCACCUAGAUCAGGCCUGAGCGGACGGAGAUGACAGCGGAGCUCGAAGGCGAGGCCACGGCUGACGGAGGUAGCGGCCGGAGCAGAUGAGGCCUUCUCGAGGAUGCACGACAUGGAUGGGAUGUUGCCAUAAGCUACAGACGAUCCCCAUGGGGCCUGCCUAGCCGAGAAUAAGAAGAAGGUAGAUCGGUGCGCGGCAAUCUUUCGCCGGAGGGGGAGAAGAAUAGUGUGGCUGUGGCGUAGGUGAUACAUGGACUCCGAGUUUGAUUCCUUUGGCAACAAUUUAUAGGGAAUCUCGGUGAAGCCUAUGGACAAGACGGCAGACACAAGAUGCAGGUGCCUGGGUGGCGAUGUUGUGGUUAUUAUAGUCAGAUGAUAGUGAUACAUGGCGGAUGACCUUCCGGUGAGAUAAAUUGUCCUCUAACUUACCACAGAGAGGAAUUGAUCAAGGGAGCCAUGGCGGCGAGGUCGGACGACGUCGGCACGGAGCCAGUGGUCCUGGAGCCGGUGGUCCGGUGCAAGGAACGCGAGGCGGUGCUCCGGGCAAGGCGGGCUGGCACAGUGCUACAUCGCGCGCCCCGCGGAUGCGGUUGGACAUAGGAUGUCUAUGUCCUCAUGGACGGCAAGACAUACAGGUUACAGCGUCAGCGACACAAAUUCAGACAAAUACAUGGCGGCUGCGGCUCCAGGCUAAAUACAUGGCGGCUGCGGCUCCAGGCUACUACGUCCUGGCUCCAGCAAACCUACGGCGGUUUCAGCUGGACACAGUGCGUCCUUUUUCUCUAGUCGCGCGGAUCGCUCGGCCGUAGAAGGUGGCCAUGGAGUGCACGAGGUAGCGCGGUGCAGCAGGCUAGCGGAGGAAGGAACCUCGGCCCUAACUGAUGGAACACCACGCCGCACCAGCUGUAGUCAUGGAGAGAAAGAUGCCACGGGCUCGCAAUCACGCUCGUGAGCGGCAGUAGCAGGCUAGCAGCGGUGCAGGUGGCGUGCGGCGACAGUGGCGUCGAGGCAUGGCACGGCGUGUUGCAGCUCAGCAUGCGCGACCCCGCCGACAGCAAUGGCGGGUCAGCGGCAGUGUUCCUGGAUCCCAACAAGAGCCCAUGGCUUAGCUUGGCGUACGACGAGUUCCAGUCAAGAAUGAGCAACACGAGCAAACAAUCCUCCCAGUGUCCAAACUGAUGCUCCACAUCUUUUCAGGGUCCUUUUUGCAAAAUAUCCCGCCCUCUGAUAUGCGCAUGUGCCAUGGGCGUGGACCCAACGCUGAGUCAGCAUGCCACCUUAGCGCCCGUUACGGCUCGAAACGACAGAGUGACCAAUUUGCUCAUAAAAUUGAGUGUUGUGACCGGUUCAUCACAUUUUGAGAGAAGAGUGACCAAUGUGCUCAUCUCACAAGAGUUCAAUGACCUGCGUUUAUCUCUUCGGAAAAUGUAGAAAUUCUAUAUAGAUAGCAAGAUGGAGAAACUUUAUAUUGAUAUUUCAAAGCAUGAAAUUAUUGUAGAGUGCCAUGCCAAGGCGAUAUGUGCUCCGCAACAUAAUCACUAGAAUAAGUGCAAGGUGGGUUUGCGUAAAAUCGAAGCAAUUUUAGCGAGAUGUCAAAAUUCUAGAAUUCCAAAAGGGGGGCAACGUCACAUUUUAAGGGUGUUCCUAGCGAACUAUUCAUUCCCUCCCGGAUGAUCACUCCAGUCAACGUUUACGUUAGUUUUUUUUUUGAGUAAAACAUUUUCGUUCACUGUGAGAACCCACCCAGCGCAAACUAUGGCCCAUCACCCAUCUGGCGUUUUGACGGGCCUCUUCCAAAGAAGCGUCAUUGCUUGCGCAAAAAAUAAACAGUCCAAAACCCAAAUAACAUUAAAAAUGUAUAAAAAAGAAGAUUUCUAUUUUCAUGCCCCCAUCGCUUAGUUCUUCUCAGUUUUGCCCACGCUCUUUGGUAGUCCUCACUUUUUCCCUCCACAGCGCGGCCCACGCUCGCAAAAAUCUCAAACGGGGGUUUGCCGUCGGGUCAAAGUCUUUGACCGUUACUGGGCGUGAUUACUAACAUGUGGGGCACCGUUGUCAGAGGCUACCCGCUCGUUGAUGAUGGGCGCAUACUGACUUGUGGGACACCUCUGUCAGUGGCUGCGCGGUCGUAGGUGGUGGUCGCAGUUACUGGCGCGUGGGACACAUGUGUCAUCAGCUGCGCGGUCGUAGGUGGUGAUCGCAGUUACUGGCGCGUGGGACACCUGUGUCAUCAGCUGCGCGGUUGUAGGUGAUGGGCGCAGUGACUGGCUUGUGGGACACCUUUGUCAACGGCUGCGCCAACUGGAAAAAAAGAGGUGGCUUAUUAAGCCAGAAAGAGUACUCGAACCCGAUACCACAUGCUCGAAGACCUUUCCGAAAUAACGUAACAAGGAUCGACAAGUUUUCAGUAUUGGAGCCGUAACCAUUGAGUGUCCAGAAUUUUGCCGAAGGGCUUCUGCAAUGAUCACACUAUCUGAUUGUAGAUAGAGUUAGCUCCAACCCUGCUGGCAAGUUUAAGGCCUUCAACAAGAGCAGCCGCUUCAGCUGAAACCACGUCAGCCACGUGCUCUAAUUUUGCCGUUGCCGCACCCACGAACAUCCCACUACUAUCUCUAAUAAUCGCACCGCAGGCCCCGAGUUGUCUUCCUCUGAAAAAGAAGCAUCCACAUUGAGAAUAAGCUGACCUUGCAGUGGUUUUCUCCAUUGAUUCAGUUUAGGGGGCGUAGUAGGCUUACUAGGAUAUCAUACAAAAUUCAGUGUGAGAGCCCGAAUGGCUUGGCAGGAACGGACCGGACUCUGGACCUCCUCCAGUAGCGCCCCUCGCCUUAAGCCGAAUGGAAGCUACUCCCGUUGAAGGGAAUAGCUCAACUGGGCCGACCCGAUAGUGUGUAUACUUAAAAGAAAAGAAAAAGAAGAAAAAAGGGAGUUCCUAGGAUUUCAACAAGGUUAUAAUGGCUCAUAGCUAGUGCAGCCUACCAUCAGGGCAAUGAUCCUAUUUUCCACUGUUUCCCCCAAUAUUUGUCCAUCUUUUAUUUUUUCUUUUCCUUUUCAUCUUUUUUUCUUUCUUUUCUUCGGUUUUCUUCUUCUUUUUACCAUUUUCUGGUUUCUUCUUCUUCUGUUAUUGUUUUUUGCAUUUGUUUCAUUUUUCUCAUUUUAUUUUUUCUUUUGUUUAUUUCAUUUAUUUUUUAAGAUUUCUUUGUUCUUUUGGUUAUUAUUCUAAUUUUUUUUGCAUAUGUCAACAAAAAAAAUUCUAAUACAUGUCUAACAUUUUGCCAAAACAAAUUAAUUAUUUUUCCUAUAAACAUUUUUCCGUUUGUCAAAUUGAGGAAAAAUUGGUCACAUGCAUUGAUGCUCCUCCUAUCAGUAAGCAGUCCGGUUUGAUGAUUCAGACAUGGCGUUUUGCCGUUUGGCGCGUGCAGGUUAUGGAGAGUUAAAGCAUUCAUGUGACCAGUUUGUUUGGAGAGAAACAAAUGGUUUCAGUGGAUAUGAUAUCAUUAUAUUGGAGUGUUGUUAGGAAGAAAGAAAAUCUAAAAGAGAGAUCAUACAUACAUAUAUGGUGAUAUAACAUGCAAACAAAGAGAAUAGUUAUGGUCUUGCAGUAAUCCCUGACCUUGAAGAGCCUCCCAGCUGGUCGCCCAGUCCUGUGAGUUGAAGAAUUUUGCAUCUGGUGUCCUCCAAAUUAAUUUGUUGCGAUACAUAAUUGUUCAAACCAUGAUUUCUUGUUGUGUACUUUCACUGAUUAAAGCACUAAGCCCUGGACCAGGGAUCCUCCCCUAGUCUCUCUGGAUCCCUCCGCGCACCAACGAAAACUGGAUGGAACCCCGUUGUGCUCUGCAUACCAUUCACGAUCCGGCUUUCUACUUCUGCCACACUCACAUUCCAAGGUAGCAAUAAACACUGACACUCCCCACGCCUCCGUCCGGCCACGAGCUCAUGGCGGCAUUCUUCGUCGGCAUGGGCUUGCUGACGCCAACGGCCGCGGUGGGAUCAGUGCGGCCCCGGUCUGCUGGUAGCGUGAGGAUGCGCCAUUUCAUUCACGUGCACCGGUGCCCAGCAGCAAGCUUGAGGUGCAGUGGCGGAUCUAGGGGUGGGGUGGUGGGGGCCAUGGCCCCAUAUACAAUUUGCAGAAUAUUUUUUACUAGUGCAUUCAUAUGUAUAUUCAGUACUUUAUUAACUAUUUGUAAUGUGUUUUGACAAAAAACUAUUACCCUUUAUAAUGUUGCCUCCACGUUGGCCAAAUUCUAGACCCACCACUGUUGAGCUAUGGAGGAACGAGGUUAAUAGAGGCAGAGGAAGGUGCUAGGAGGUUCGUGGGGUGGUUCCGAGAGGUGUGGCUCUACAUUCGCGGCUAGAGAGGGAGCAUGUUUAUCGUCCUCAUCUCCAGGCCGAACCUCGACGGCAUCCUACAGGCAUAUAUCGCUCUGGAUCAAAAGGAUCAUGCUUCUCUUUGCUUAAGGUUAAGUGCACGGUAGUGGUAAUCCAGCCGUACGUUUUGCCAUCUUAAAAUCAGAUGCAUAGGUGAUUUUUCGAGAACUUGGAUCAGGGAUUUAGAAGAAGAGGUUGUCUAUGAAAUGCGCCCAUAUUAAUGUUGUAAGAACCCUACAAAAGAUUUAUUUUAUUAUGCCCGGAUGACACCGAAGGGAAAGAUUUGGAUAACAAAUCAAUAAUCUCGCUAACUUCUAGAGUGAAAUAAAAUAAAUGAAUUAUAAUAUACUAAUAAAACGUUAACAAAGUUAUGUGACAGAGGUACUACCUUCCUAAUGUACCUUUUUUUUGAAAAGGAGGAUGUACCCCCGGCCUCUGCAUCUGGGCGAUGCAUGCAGUCAUUUUAUUAAUUAUUCACAAAGCCCUUAUAAGGUAAUACAUCAGUAAGUCUGAAGCCACCAUCUUGGCAACACCUGUCACUACUCCUAUCCCCGUGAUGAAGGGGUGCCGAAUGUCCGAGCCUAAUACCAAACAGACAUCGCACCAAUACCUAACAUCUAAUGCCGGAUGCCCCGUCCAAGCCACAAUACCUGGACUGGGUUACACACCGGUCCGACGCACUUUCAGUGGGCACCACAUGCGCACGCUGCAAGGGCCAUCACCUCCUUCAUUCAUCGAUCCAUCCUCAGGUCAGAUACUGACGCAUCGACCUUACCAGGCCUCUCUGUCGUCAACGCCACCAUGACGCCAGACAGCGUCGUCCUCCUGCACGAGUCCAUCGCCACCCAUCGGACGCCGAGUCUCCACUGCGCCACGCCGCCAAGAUCCAUCGCCGUCGAUGUCUAGGAUGAAGCAUCGCUCCACCACCUACCGUCGCCCAACCACCAAGGCAUCCGCAUGUCCGUCCAAUCGAUGAAUGUCUCCAAAGAUGAUGCCCCCAUGGGGGUGGCGAUGAAGACGUCGCCAUCAUCCGAUCCAGGAGGCCCCUCAAUGCCUCCAACGAGGGCUACGACGCCCACGGGCGCUGCCGUCAAUGGUAGCCUCCUCCAGAUAUGAUGUUGCCCCGGAAAGAAUGGAGCGGGGGACGCCCCCACCAUCGCCUCCAACAAGGAAAAUGGCACCCACGGGCGCCGCCCAUGAUGGUGGCAUCCUCACCUACUUCAACAGCCAGGGCACCACUCCACCUUGACUUGACCCGCCGCCGGGAAGCCACCGCGAGGCAACACCCACCGACUAGAUCCCUUUGGAUCGACGAUGAAGACAACCAAAGGUAGAGGGGGUCUGAUACGUCUCCAACGUAUCUAUAAUUUUUUAUUGUUCCAUGCUAUAUUAUAUUCUGUUUUGAAUAUUUAAUGGGCUUUAUUAUACACUUCUAUAUUAUUUUUGGGACUAACCUAUUAACCGGAGGCCCAGCCCAAAUUGCUAUUUUUUUGCCUAUUUCAGUGUUUCGCAGAAAAGGAAUAUCAAACGGAGUCCAAACGGAAUGAAACCUUCGGGAACGUGAUUUUCGGAACAAAUGUGAUCUAGAGGACUUGGAGUGGACGUCAAGCAAUCAAGGAGGAGGCCACGAGGCAGGGGGCGCGCCUACCCCCCGGGCGCGCCCUCCACCCUCAUGGGCCCCUCGUAGCUCUACCGACCUACUUCUUCCUCCUCUAUAUAUCUACGUACCCCCAAACCAUCAGCAGAGGAGCCAAAACCCUAUUUCCACCGCCGCAACCUUCUGUACCCAUGAGAUCCCAUCUUGGGGCCUUUUUCGGCGCUUCGCCGGAGGGGGCAUCGAUCACGGAGGGCUUCUACAUCACACCAUAGCCUCUCCGAUGAUGUGUGAGUAGUUUACCUCAGACCUUCGAGUCCAUAGUUAUUAGCUAGAUGGCUUCUUCUCUCUCUUUGGAUCUCAAUACAAAGUUCUCCUCGAUUCUCUUGGAGAUCUAUUUGAUGUAACUCUUCUUUUUGCGGUGUGUUUGUCGAGAUCCGAUGAAUUGUGGUUCAUGAUCAAGAUUAUCUAUGAACAAUAUUUGAAUCUCCUCUGAAUUCUUUUAUGUAUGAUUGGUUAUCUUUGCAAGUCUCUUUGAAUUACCAGUUUGGUUUGGCCUACUAGAUUGAUCUUUCUUGCAAUGGGAGAAAUGCUUAGCUUUGGGUUCAAUCUUGCAGUGCUCGCUCCCAGUGGCAGUAGGGGAAACGACACGUAUUGUAUUGUUGCCAUCGAGGAUAAAAAUAUGGGGUUUAUAUCAUAUUGCAUGAGUUUAUCCCUCUACAUCAUGUCAUCUUGCUUAAAGCGUUACUCUGUUCUUAUGAACGUAAUACUCUAGAUGCAUGCUGGAUAGCGGUCGAUGUGUGGAGUAAUAGUAGUAGAUGCAGGCAAGAGUCGGUCUACUUGUCACGAACGUGAUGCCUAUAUACAUGAUCAUACCUAGAUAUUCUCAUAACUAUGCUCAAUUCUAUCAAUUGCUCGACAGUAAUUCGUUUACCCACCGUAAUACUUAUGCUUUGGAGAGAAGCCACUAGUGAAACCUAUGGCCCCCGGGUCUAUUUUCCAUCAUAUUAAUCUCCCGUCAACUAGCUAUUUCUGUCACCGUUUAUUUUGCUUUCUUUACUUUUAAUCUUUACCAUAAAAAUACCAAAAAAAUUAUCUUAUCAUCUCUAUCAGAUCUCACUCUCGUAAGUGACCGUGAAGGGAUUGACAACCCUUUAUCGCGUUGGUGUCGAGGUUCUUAUUUGUUUGUGUAGGUGCGUGGGACUCGAGCGUGGUCUCCUACUGGAUUGAUACCUUGGUUCUCAAAAACUGAGGGAAAUACUUACGCUACUUUAAUGCAUCACCCUUUCCUCUUCAAGGGAAAACCAACGCAGUGCUCAAGAGGUAGCAAGAAGGAUUUCUGGCGCCGUUGUCGGGGAGUCUACGCACAAGUCAAGACAUACCAAGUACCCAUCACAAACUCUUAUCCCUCGCAUUACAUUAUUUGCCAUUUGCCUCUUGUUUUCCUCUCCCCCACUUCACCCUUGCCAUUUUAUUCGCCCUCUCUUUCCCUUCACCUCUUUUUCGCUUGCCUCUUGUGUUCCGUGUGCCGUCAUGGCUAGUCCUUUAUCUACUCCUUUGUCUCCCGAGAGUGAAGUUCUUAAUUUUAAACAAAGGGAGGGAGAAAAUCUAAAAGAUGCUUGGUACAAAAUUUGCAAUGCGCAAAAUAGAUCUACUAGGAAGCAAUCUACUUCCGUUCUUCUUCGCAAUUUUUAUGUAGGCAUCACUCCUUGGAAUAGAUAUAUUCUUCAUACCAUUACCGGAGGAAAUUUCUUGGGUAGCCAUACUUUUGGUUCUUACAAUGCUGUGAUAGAUUGUUUGGCCCACCACCUCUUUUGGUUAAUGGAACUACUUUAACUUUGGAACAUGUGAUGCAACGGCUUGAAAUUAUUGAAAAUAAAGUUGCUACCAUAGAGUUGAUUGAAAAUUUGGAUAGAAAGAUCCACAACCAAGUUACCCAAUACGGAUCUAAGGUAGGAGUGGCUCUUAAUUUUUUUAAAGAAAAGGAACCUAUGGUUAAUGAAAAGAUAGAUCAAGAUUCCACAAGAAUUGAUAAAAUUGAGGAUAUUAUUUCCAACCUAGGGUCUGCUUUUUCUUCCGUGAAAAAUACUCCUUCUAAUGCUAAGAUUGCCAAAUUAAUGUAUGUUCCUAAAAAUAAGGGUGAAACUUCUAGUAAGGGAAAUGCGGACCUCAAAUCCAUAAGUGUUCACCCCAACUUUCUUGCUAUCCUUAAGGAACCUUUUGCUACAAAUGAUUUUCUUGAUUUUGUGCCUAGGAGUUUGAUAAUUAAUAAAAAGAAAGCGAAUCCUAGGGGUUAUAGGUGUCUUAUUGAAGAAUUGCCUACCAAAGAUGGCAAUACCUAGAUCUAUCCUUGCUUUUAUGCCUAGCUAGGGGCGUUAAACGAUAGCGCUUAUUUGGAGGCAACCCAAUUUUAUUUUAGUUUUUUUUCUUUUUGCUCCUGUUUAGGAAUAAAUCUUUGAUCUAGCCUCUGGUUAGAUUUGUUUUUGUGUUUUAAUUAGUGUUUGUGCCAAGUUAAACCUAUAGGAUCUUCUUGGAUGAUAGUUAUUUGAUCUUGCUGAAAAUUCCAGAAACUUUCUGGUCACAAAAACAAUUGUUUAAAAUCACCAGAACAUGAUAAAAUACUGAUUCCAAUUGCAGUAGAUCAAUAAACAAAUUAUUUAGGUCGUCUUAUUUUGGUAGAAUUUUUGGAGUUCCAGAAGUUUGUGUUAGUUACAGAUUACUACAGACUGUUCUGUUUUUGACAGAUUCUGUUUUUCGUGUGUUGUUUGCUUAUUUUGAUGAGUCUAUGGUUAGUAAAAUAGUUUAUAAACCAUAGAGAAGUUGGAAUAUAGUAAGUUUAACACCAAUAUAUGUGUUGUGAAGUUUUCAAGUUUUGGGUAAGGAUUUGAUGGAUUAUGGAACAAGGAGUGGCAAGAGCCUAAGCUUGGGGAUACCCAAGGCACCCCAAGGUAAAUCUAAGGACACCAAAAAGCCAAAGCUUGGGGAUGCCCCGGAAGGCAUCCCCUCUUUCAUCUUCGUCCAUCGGUAACUUUACUUGGAGCUAUAUUUUUAUUCACCACAUGAUAUGUGUUUUGCUUGGAGCAUCUUGUAUGAUUUGAGUCUUUGCUUUUAGUUUACCAUAAUCAUCCUUUGCUGUACACACCUUUUGAGAGAGACACACAUGAUUCAGAAUUUAUUAGAAUACUCUAUGUGCUUCACUUAUAUCUUUUGAGCUAUAUAGUUUUUGCUUUAGUGCUUCACUUAUAUCUUUUAGAGCACGGCGGUGGUUUUGUUUUAUAGAAACUAUUGUUCUCUCAUGCUUCACUUAUAUCAUUUUGAGAGUCCUACAAAACAACAUGGUAAUUUGCUUAAAUUGAGAAAUUAGUCCUAAUAUGAUAGGCAUCCAAGAUUAUUAAAAACUUUCUUAUAAGUGCGUUGAAUACUAAGAGAAGUUUGAUGCUUGAUGAUUGUUUUGAGAUAUGGAGGUAGUGAUAUUAAAGUUGUGCUAGUUGAGUAGUUGUGAAUUUGAGAAAUACUUGUGUUGAAGUUUGCAAGUCCCGUAGCAUGCAUGUAUGGUAAACGUUGUGUAAAAAAUUUGAAACAUGGGGUGUUCUUUGAUUGUCCUCCUUAUGAGUGGUAGUCGGGGACGAGCGAUGGUCUUUUCCUACCAAUCUAUCCCCCUAGGAGCAUGCGCGUAGUGCUUGGUUUUUGAUGACUUGUAGAUUUUUGCAAUAAGUAUGUGAGUUCUUUAUGACUAAUGUUGAGUCCAUGGAUUAUACGCACUCUCACCCUUCCAUCAUUGCUAGCCUCUUUGGUACCGUGCAUUGCCCUUUCUCACCUUGAGAGUUGGUGCAAACUUCGCUGGUGCAUCCAAACCCCGUGAUACGAUACGCUCUAUCACACAUAAACCUCCUUAUAUCUUCCUCAAAACAGCCACCAUACCUACCUAUUAUGGCAUUUCCAUAGCCAUUCCGAGAUAUAUUGCCAUGCAACUUUCCACCGUUCCGUUUAUUAUGACACGUUUCAUCAUUGUCAUAUUGCCUUGCAUGAUCAUGUAGUUGACAUCGUAUUUGUGGCAAAUCCACCAUGCAUAUUAUCAUACAUGUCACUCUUGAUUCAUUGCCCAUCCCGGUUCACCACCGGAGGCAUUCAUAUAGAGUCAUACUCUGUUCUAGUAUCGAGUUGUAAUCAUUGAGUUGUAAAUAAAUAGAAGUGUGGUGAUCAUCAUUCAUAGAGCAUUGUCCCAAAUAAAAAAAUAAAAAAGAGAAAGGCCAAAUAAAAAAAAGGAAAGGCCCAAAAAAAUAAAGAAAAAAAGAGAAAAGAAAAUAAAGAAGGGACAAUGCUACUAUCCUCUUGUCCACACUUGUGCUUCAAAGUAGCACCAUGAUUUUUAUGAUAGAGAGUCUCUUGUUUUGUCACUUUCAUAUACUAGUGGGAAAUUUUCAUUAUAGAACUUGGCUUGUAUAUUCCAACAAUGGGCUUUCCCAAAUGCCCUAGGUCUUCGUGAGCAAGCAAGUUGGAUGCACACCCACUUAGUUUCUUUUGUUGAGAUUUCAUACAUUCAUAGCUCUAGUGCAUCCGUUGCAUGGCAAUCCCUACUUCUUGAAUUGACAUCAAUCGAUGGGCAUCUCCCUAGCUCGUUGAUUAGCCGCGUCAAUGUGAGACUUUCUCCUUUUUUGUCUUUUAUGUAUGAUUGGUUAUCUUUGCAAGUCUCUUCGAAUUAUCAGUUUGGUUUGGCCUACUAGAUUGAUCUUUCUUGCAAUGGGAGAAGUGCUUAGCUUUGGGUUCAAUCUUGCGGUGCUCGAUCCCAGUGACAGUAGGGGAAACGACACGUAUUUUAUUGUUGCCAUCGAGGAUAAAAAGAUGGGGUUUAUAUCAUAUUGCAUGAGUUUAUCCCUCUACAUCAUGUCAUCUUGCUUAAAGCGUUACUCUGUUCUUAUGAACUCAAUACUCUAGAUGCAUGCUGGAUAGCUGUCGAUGUGUGGAGUAAUAGUAGUAGAUGCAGGCAGGAGUCGGUCUACUUGUCACGGACGUGAUGCCUAUAUACAUGAUCAUACCUAGAUAUUCUCAUAACUAUUCUCAAUUCUAUCAAUUGCUCGACAGUAAUUCGUUUACCCACCGUAAUACUUAUGCUCUGGAGAGAAGCCACUAGUGAAACCUAUGGCUCCCAGGUAUAUUUUCCAUCAUAUUAAUCUCCCGUCAACUAGCUAUUUCUGUCGCAGUUUAUUUUGCUUUCUUUACUUUUACUCUUUACCAUAAAAAUACCAAAAAUAUUAUCUUAUCAUCUCUAUCAGAUCUCACUCUCGUAAGUGACCGUGAAGGGAUUGGCAACCCCUUUAUCGCGUUGGUUGCGAGGUUCUUAUUUGUUUGUGUAGGUGCGUGGGACUCGAGCGUGGUCUCCUACUGGAUUGAUACCUUGGUUCUCAAAAACUGAGGGAAAUACUUACGCUACUUUACUGCAUCACCCUUUCCUCUUCAAGGAAAAACCAACGUAGUGCUCAAGAGGUAGCAGGGUCACAUCGUUGCGUGACCGGCGCCAUGGCCAUAUACACGUCGUCUCGAGGCGCCCGCUCAAGAUCCACCGUCACAACCAUGCCUCCAAGCCGCUCCGGAUGGACGCCCCGCCGCCGCCAUCACCCCCCCCCCCGCACGGGCUUUGCCCAGCCGGGAUCCGACGGCGGCAGGAGGGGAGGCAGAGGGGACGAGAGGCGGAGGGUAUCGGGAGGCAUCAACCUUCGCAAUGUACUUAAAAAUAGUUUAUGAAAUGAAGAGAUUGACAUUUGUAUCUUGUCUCUAUUGUAUUUUUUGACAUACGGGAUAUAUCAUUUCUUCAUAGCUUUGGGAUCAAAUUUGUUCUUGUUCCUGGAAUCCAUGUCAAGAUAGAUAAGCUCUUUGCGGAGAGAGGUUAGUUGUGUUCUGACCCCGUCACUUGUGGAGUGUUAAUUACCAUAUCCUUGCUUUAUUUCUUGCUAUAUGCAUGAUUUGAUACAAUAGCAAGUAAGAAAAGUAUCGUGGUAUUGCAAAGGAGGAAUUCUACUCGUUGAUAAACUUCACAAAUUUAUACCAAAUAACGUACAAUGUAAUCACUGGAAGUGUAAAUAUCGAUGACGAAUAUCUAACCACUGAAUUUGUAGAUCUCAUAUCUUGUUACAGUUUUGGAACUGAAAAGAGGUCUCAAAUUCUUAAUGUUUGUGGUGUUGCAAAAAAAAUACUAGAUGCUAUGAUCUCAUCAUUUAUGCAAAUUUUACCAAUGUAGCAGUUCAUGCCUUUAUGAUUUUUUCUAGGAAAGAAGGCUAAGUAUGCUAGUCACUACUGUAUCACCGAUUUAGAUGCAAUAGAGGCUGCAAUGGAGGCAGCGGGUAGAAUACGACUAAGUAUGGAAGCAAAGCUAUCUCCUGGACCCCCAAUGUUAAAUCUUCGCCGACAUGGUGUUAAUGGCAGUUGGCAUGAAAAGACUAAUAAUGUUGCAAGUGGAAAUUUUCUUGUUGUUAAGGUUAGUUUACCUGUGUUGCUUCCUUACAUCAUACCAUCAUGGUGCAUUUGUACUAUGGAUCACAUAAAAGGAUUCUAUGGAGUUAAAGAUUUAGGCAAUAAUUUGUUGGGGGAUUACUGGACCAAGGAUAUCAUUUCUCAGCUAGAUCACGUGCAAUAUAAUUGGUGAGACAUUGUGCUAUGGGGCAGAGGAGGAUGCUGAGGGGAGGAAGGCUGGGGGUAGCAAAGUACGGAAGAGAAAGGGAUAAAACUUGGUGGGAACAAUUUUUAGGCCAAUCUGCCAUAUUUAUUUCUCUAAUCCAUGAGCAUGCGCAAAGUCAUUUUGAGCGGUUCCGGCAUGUGCCGGCAACCAAUCUAUCGUUCAUGCAUGCAUUAAGAUUCGUGCCGCUGUGAAUAUUCUAUUCUCAUUUUCUACUAUACUGGGAUAUACUCCAUCAAAUAUAGCUAGUAGCCCCCACCUUUGUCCCUGAUAUGACAAGCAUGGCAGCAUGUGACAGCCCACUCUCUCUCCCUUUCUCACACAUAAAUCCAUCCUUUUAUUUCACCUUAGCUAAAUUAAAUUGUCUGUAUCAUUUAAACUAUAAGUUUGUUUUUGAAAUAAUUCAUAUAUUUGAAGUCAUGGCGUCAAGACCUUUAGAAUUAGACCAAUAUUGGAUACAUUUCAAACACGUCUAAAUUUUGAUGUUUCACAUUUCAUAUGUGAAACAAACCCAUUUCACUAAAAAAUUGUGAUUUUUAAUAGAAAUAUGUCAAACCAAUCUAUUUCACAGACCUUUUUUACCCAAAUAUGAAACUGAAAUGUCAACUUGUGAAACAACUUAUUUGAAAUUGUGCAACAAUAUAUGUCAAAAGAGUGAAAUAUGUUAGAUUUGUGAAACAAGUAGUGGAAAGUGAAAUGUAGGUUCUAAAUUGUGAAAUAGUAAAUGCAGAAAGUGAAAUUGUAAUGUAUCAUUGUGAAACUAAUUUUUUGGAAAUGUGUAACAGUUUAUUUGAAAAGAGUGAACUAUGUUAUUUUCAAAAAUGUGCAAUUGAAAUAAAUUUGAUUUUUAUAAAACAAGCCAGUGAAAAGUGAAAUGUACAUUCUGAAUUGUGAAAUAAUAAAUACAGAAAGUGAAAUUGUAAUGUAUCAUUUGUGAAACUAAUUUUUUGGAAACGUGUAACAAUUUAUUUGAAAAGAGUGAAAUAUGUUAUUUUAAAAAAUGUGCAAUUGAAAUAAAUGUGAUUUUUAUGAAACAAGCGAGUGGAAAGUGAAAUGUACGUUCUGAAUUAUGAAAUAAUAAAUACAUAAAAUGAAAUUGUAAUGUAUCAUUGUGAAACUGAUUUUUGGAAAUGUGUAACAAUUUAUUUCAAAAGAGUGAAAUAGGUUAUUUGAAAAAAUAUGCAACUAAAAUGUAUGUUAUUUUUGUAAAACAAGGUAGUGAAAAGUGAAAUAUAGGUUCUGAAUUAUGAAAUAGUAACCACAUAAGGUGAAUUUGUAAUGUAUCAUCAUGAAACAUAUUAUUUCAAAAUAUGAAAUAUGUUAUUUGAAAAAUGUUCUAAUGAAAUAGAUGUGGUUUUUGUGAAACAAGGCUAUGAAACUGAUUAUUUUGAUAUGUGAAAUAUGUGUUCGAGUUUAAACAUGGUCGAAAAAUAUUCAAAAUUGAUCUCAUUUUAAAGGUUUUGUUGCAAGGAGUUCAAAUAUAAAAAAAAUCAAAAAUGAAUAUAUGGUUUAAAAGAUAUGGAUGUUUCAAAUUAGCCAAGAAGAAAGAAAUGGUUGGAUUUAUUGAGUGGGAUAAGAGAGAGAAUGACUCUAUCACACUGUCAUGCAUGCAUGUAAAGUACGCUGGUGGGGGCCUGCUGCUGAAGAAAGGGUGGAAAUACGAAGAUGGGAAAUGGAAAAGGAAAAAGCAAUACAAAGAUACUUGGCCCAGAUAGUGUUAGAUGGCAGCUUCCUAAUGGAGAUCACCUUUGCAAGUACCUAGCGGAACCACGCAAUUUUACUUUUUGCAUGAGCAUGGCAUGCUAGUUAGAGUGGCAGACAAUAGAUGCAGUUGGAAUGGGUCAUAUCACAAUACAUGCAACGACACAUAAUAUCUUAACUGAUUUAACUGCUAAUCAAACUCACCGAGAGAUUUAAGGUCAUUUAACCAAUCCAGGUGUCAUAAUGCAUCCAGUGAAUGAAUCUUGAGUGUUUAAGAUAAAACCCGAUACCAAUAAGUAGCCAGCAACACUGAACAACCACUCUUUACAUUGUGAUUUUCUGAUGGUGUUCUGCUUCAUAGAAGUCGAUCAACUUUGAGUCCAGCUCUCCUAUCUCAUACAAACGAAUGAAACAUGCUGUAUUUUCUUAAGAAAUUAUACUCCCGCCAUAUUUUUUGAAAUUUAAAGGUUACCUCUCUUUCAUGGAAAGAGAAAAAAAAGUAAACUUCAGUCAAUGUGUGCAAGCAUCUGAAUGAUUUCGUUCUUGGACCAUCUUGGACAAUUGAUUUAUUUUAUCUUCCUUUGGCAAAGGCGAGGGGUUGUUGGUGGCAUUGAUUAUGGUUUCAUUGGUGAAGUUAAGGAAAUUGAUGUUUCACGAAUAAGAGAGAGGCUUGAUAGAGAUAGCAUAGUCAUUGUCAGCAAUAUGGGAUACUCCAGCGCAGGAGAGGUCUUAAAUUGCAAGUACUCUCUUUACUCCCCUCAUAGGAUACACCCGAAAAAAGUCGUGUAUCUUUAAUCAUGGGAAGUUUGUGAAAAGAAUAAAAAAUGUUAGCAGUUGCACCAUUAUUACUUGGAGUUACUAAUAUAGCUUUUGUUUGAUUCUUUUUAGUACCUAUGAAGUUGCUAUGGCAUGUGCUUUAACCAUAGAGGCAGAUAAACUUAUUUGUAUUGUUGAUGGACAAAUAUCUGAUGAGCAUGGUCGUGGUAUUCAUUUCAUGUCUGCCAAGGAAGCAAACAUGUUAAUCAGAGCACGUAUUGUGCAGAGUGAGAUUUCUGCAAAUCAUGUGAAGGUUGUGGGUGAGGAAGAUAUUAGGUAUGUCACAAACCUCCCCAUCAAACAGGAUAUAGAACUAGGUUUGAAUGGAUCAGCCAUUUUAAUAGGUUUACUGCAUCUUUCCGGAACGGUGUGGGUUUCAAUAAUGGAAAUGGUUUGUCUGACGAGCAAGGGUUUGCCAUUGGUGGGGAGGACCUGUUGAGCAGGUCAGAUGGCUACCUUUCAGAGUUUGCUGCAGCAGCAUAUGUAUGCCAUGUAAGUUUGGAGCUUCAUGUAUGAUAUUCCACUUUUUUAAUACUUUGCAUGAUGUGUUGAUUCCUGAUUGUGCCACAAAAGUCUCAUGUUCUUUCGUGCAGCAUGUAUGUUUCGUCGCUAUUAGCAAUGACAAUACACACUUGUAUACUGUAGGAUGCAUGUGUUUUCCAAAGUUCUUAAGAAUAUAUGCCUGCUGAUACUUUGAUUGAAAUUUAGCUAUACUCACUAUGCAUACCAUUGUGCAAACAUUCGAAUAAAGAACCACUAUCUUGCUCAAGUUCACAUUUUUGUUGACUAAUUAUCCUUAUGUAGUACAACAAUCUAUAGUAGGAUCUCUGCAUCUGCACCACUGCAUACAAUAAUCCAUAGAUUGCUAUGUUCCCUAACAUGAGAAUGUAACACACACAUACACACAUUGGUCUUGUUCAUUUUCGUUUGUCCUAAUUAGAUGUUCCUCUUUUUAUCAUUUCAGGGUGGUGUCCAAAGAGUGCAUAUCAUAGAUGGUACUGUUGGUGCAUCAUUGUUUUUAGAAUUAUUCACAAUAGACGGUGUUGGAACAAUAAUUGCUAGGUAUAAUCCAACUUGCCCUUUUUCUUAUGUUUGUUGUCAUGGAACAUAGCAGCUUUGAUGUGUAAUCCCAUCAUGAUUUCAUACAUGUGAUGUUCCUUGGUGCUCCGUGAUCUUUUAUGCAUUUCCCUGAGAUUGACAAAAACGCAUUCCCUUC
rnacentral:lncRNA from 1 species